rnacentral:lncRNA from 1 species
GGCCUCAAACCUGGACUUGAGCCUUCCGAGAACGGGCUGCAGGACAUCAUUAUGAUCAUAAAAUUGGGCUCUUCGAUUUUAGCCGUAUACAGAUAGUCCUCGCAUUUCUUAGAAUGAAAAUGACCAAAAAUGGUUUUGACACCGAUCUCUCUCGAGCCUCUUGCGAUGACCAAUCUUUAUGAUAACCGAGACGUCCCAUCGGUACAUCUUUCCGGAAGCAUUCAAUAUAGUGCUAGUUUAUUUUCUCAAAGCGAUAAUAUCGCCAUCGAUCCGUCUCCCAAAAAGCAUUGAUUGCCCCUGUCGAUACGUUUCCCAAAGGCAUUGAUUACGCCGUUAGUUACGCUGCCACCUUCCUAUAAAUAAAAGCUUUCUUGAAUCAAACUUCAUUCAGUCAUUCUUCAACAAUCCUUAACUCCUUUCUUUCCUUUACCCUCGUCUAACUCUAUUUCCCAUGUUUAAAGCUCGUGGCUGAAAGGUCACAUGGUUGUUCUCGCCAGUUAUGUUAUGGCUCUUCAUCAGAUCUUUCCCCUACUGAGUGGGAUCACACUAGUUUGUUGUUUUUGUUGUUGUUGUUGGCCCAAAAUAAUGAGAGAGGAAUCUCAAAUUACAUUCGUAUCAGAGGAUGUGGACUGUAGACUGCUGCUCACCUCUCUUAACUUCCACCUGGUGUGGAGCUUCACUCAUUUUGCUUUCCAUGGAGUGAGGUGGUGCCAUCUACUAACCUUUGCAUCCCACACCGAUGCAAUGUCUCAAGUGGCUUCCCAAUAAUAGUGCUGGCGAGGCCUGUACCCGCCAAAUUUUUCACCCAGGCACUUCUUCAUCUUCUGAUGCUUCUUCAUCUUUUUCUACUUCUUCUUCAUCCUUGAAGACGCCAUUUUGAAGGUCGAGAUGAGGCCCCCGAGGAAACGGUCCUCGAAGAUGUUGCUUCCGAGAAUGUACCCCCGAGAGUAAAUUAGACUUUAACUGUUAUUUUUUGCUUCUUUGAUUCUGUGUGAGGACCCUCCGUGGGCUUUUGUAAUCAUCGUUUAUUAAUACAAAGUGCUUCUUCAAUUUAUCUCUGAUUUGAGUUGAAUUUCCCUUUAUUUACGUUUGCGAAAGAAUCUUAGCACAUGGCUCUACCAAUCGGACCAAAUACCGAACCCGGGCACAGGUAUUCCCUCAGUUCUUUAUUGAUUAGUAUGAUAUUCCCUGGAACCCUUUACCAUUCCUCGGACUGAGCCCGGAUUGAAUUGAUACAAACUUAGGUUGUCGAGAACCCCGAAUUCGAAUUGAGUGAGAAUAAGGCUUCGAAUUUUAGAACGAAACUUAGACUUUUAGGUCCUGUUGAUAGUCCUCGAGGGGUAGAUUGCUCAAACGUUUGACAAUAAAGAUAGCCCUAAAACUUUCACAGACAGACCCCGAGUGAGAGUUAGCUCAAGCUUGUUCGGCCUAAAAAACUUGAUUUGAACUUAGAGCGAAGAUAGCCCUGAGGCGUUAUUGAAAGACAUCAGAUGAGGAUAUGCCCGAACUCGGGUAGCCCCUAAACUAAAGUAAUCAAGAGGGCGUUUGACUUGAUUUGAAGGUGAAAACAGUUUUAAGGCUUUAUUAGUAAUUCUCGAGUGAGAACUAGCUCGGGCUUAGGUAGCUCGAGGGCCAAAGAAUCGGAUGAAUGAUCUGCGCUCUAAUAGUAGAAACCCUCAAGAUAGGGUAUCACCUUGAGGUUAGGCUUAUACGGAUAGCUCCUUAGAGCUUAUUUUUCGUUUUGACAGAGAUCCUCAUGAUCGGGCACCAUCUCGAGGCUUAGAAUGAUUUUGAUGGCUCCUUAGAGCCUACUUUUAUUUUGACAUAGAUCCUUGAGAUCGGGCACCAUCUCGAGGCUUAGAAUGAUUUUGAUGGCUCCUUAGAGCCUAAUUUUAUUUUGACAGAGAUCCUCGAGAUCAGGAUCCAUCUCUAGGUUUUAGAAUGACAUUGAUGGCUCCUCAGAGCCUAUUUUCAUUUUAACAAAAAUCCUCGAGAUCGGGCACCAUCUCGAGGUUCAAAAUGAUAUUGAUGGCUCCUUUGAGCCUAUUUUCAUUUUGUUAGAAAUCCUCAAGAUCGGGUAACCUCUCGAGGCUCGGUUGAUGUGGGGUUUUUUGAUCCCUCGCACGAUGUACGUUAGUGUUUAUCGUAGGAAAUAUUUGAGGCGACCCUGCUAGUACAUCUCCCUAAAAGUGAUAAUGUCCUAGUUGGAAUUAAUUGGCCUUACAGGGUAGGUAGAUAGUCAUCGUUUGCCCUAUAUAUGAGUUUAUUCCCUUUUUAUGAGGAUUUAGCUAUUUUGAUCUGCUAUCCCUUUUCAUAGAGUUCUUCUUCCUCGCGUCAGCUUUUCCAUCAUUUUAAUUCAAAGUUUUUGCCUGAGUUUUUAUUUUCAUUCCCUUGUUUUAUUAUAGCCAUGGCUGCCACGCCUAAAUCCAUUCACCAAGAAGAUGAGGGGUCCUCUUCUUCUUCCCACUCAAUCGGUGGUACACCGCCGGUGUUUGGUGAGCCAAUCUCAAGAUGCUUUGUCCCGAGGAGAGACCUUUCACUAGAGAGGCCUCCUAAUGUUGAGAGUCAUUGGGACCAUGCAUUAAGGUUUACUACAUCAAUAGGAGAGGAACACCUCGAAGAAGUGAGGAGAGACUGUGGAUGGGGAGAAAAGGUGGUACUAUAGGUACCCUCCCCGAAAGAGAACAUUAUGGUUUACACAGAGGGGUUUUUACACAUAUACACAUACCCCUUUAUAGUGAGAAACGGGACUUAUUUGAUGUGAUUCGGACGUCCAGUUGUGAAAAUAGGAAUUUCAAAUGUUCUUAAGGAUUUCAUGUGUUUUGGUAUUAAAUCCAUAGUUUUAGAUGUUAUUUUGGUGAUUUGAUCGCACGUGCAAGUUCAUAUGAUGUUUUAAGAUUUGCGUGCAUGAUUGGUUUGGAGCCUCGGGGGCUCGGGUGAGUUUUGGAUAGGCUACAAAGUGUUUUGGAACUUAGGAAAAUUUGUUGGUAUGACUGAACCUAUUACAGGCUUCUGAUCUCACAAUUGCGAGAUCAGGCAUCGCAAUUGCGAACCCUGCAGGUUCUGGUUUAGCGAGGAUUUUAUUGCAAUUGCGAUCAUAAGUUGGGCCCUAUCGACAAAGUCAUGCUUGACUUCUAUCGAAGAUAUCGGGCUACGACACAGGUUCACCCGUCGUUCUGGAGGACAUUGCUGAUGAUGAGGUUCUUUGCGGAAGAAGUCGGGCUCAAAUUCACCCUCAGUCAUAUCAUCAGAUUGUACCGACCUUUUCAUUGCCAAGGCCUGAUAGCUUUGUGAUGCCGAUCUGCCAUACCCUUAGUUGUUGAUGAUGGAUAAAACGGGGACCAAGGAUGGAUGGAUGGAUUCAUCCGAGUAAGGAAUGUCGAUGUUAUCCCUGUGGAGUUCCUGCCGUUUCUUGAGGAAUGGAAUGUCACACGUAAGGGGUACACUUGUGUUUUUGUCAUUUUUUGCUUAUGAUGAAGACGGAUUCUGUGAAGCUGCUUUUUUCCCUUUUGCAGCAGCCCCGUGGAUGCCAUACAAAGUUCCUGACUAGGCAGAUUGGGCUUGAAAGCUGGCAGCCCAUUCGACCUAUGACGGGCGUAAAUGGCGAGACCUAUCCAAGGGUAUAUGGGAGGCAAAACAUCACGGUAUGUGCUGUGUGAUUGGCUUUCUUUGGAUGGCACUAUGUAUGUUCUAACCUCGUCACCACAAGUAUUUGAGAAUUUCCUAAGGUGAGAUCAUUUUCUCUCGGAAAGGAAGAGGGGUCGCCGGCUUCAGGACUAAGGAAAAAUAACAAACGGAAGGAACCCUCGUAGGGCAAAGGUCCUCAUAGCGAGACAAGUCCCCCCGGAGGCCCAGAGAAGAUGUCUCGACUGAGCUUGCAACACCUGAGGCGUUCGGCCUUUGAAAAAGGUCCCUUCUUUGCCAUCGACUUCUUUUCCCAUCGAAGGUUCUUCGAGGGAGAAGGAUUCUUUGCUUUCGUCUUCUCUUCUCGUCGAAGGUACUUCGAGGGGGGUUCGAGGCUAGGGACCGCCUGGCUCAAGUGACGUAUCGAAUGAUCAUGUUCCUAUUAGGAGCGAUUCUGCUGGGGCCGACAAAACCAGGCCGGUUGAUGUGCGUUCGACCUUUGAGGAGGCUCAACGGCUUUGUUCCGUGGUGAGAUUUUGGCUGAUUGUAUUAGUUUUUCAAUUUUACACUCCCACUUUCUUAUUGAGCUUCUUUUUUGUAGGUUUUUGACAAGCUCAAUUCCGAGCUUCUCCAUCGUGAAGCCAGGUUGAGGAAAGCCUUGGAUGGGGAGAAAUACCUCAAGCUUCUUUGUAAUAAGAGGGGAGAUUAGUUGGUAUACCUGCGUUAUGAAGUGAACCGGAGCCUAAACUACCAAAGCCACCUUGAGAAGCAGGUAACCUUUGUUCCGAGGGAAUGCAUGCUUUUUCUUCUCACCUCAGAGAUUAAUGUUUUGAUCCCUUAGUUGCAAAGCAAAACACAGGAUUUAGAGUGCCUUUGGGGCGAGGUCGACCAAGCCAAGCACGAACGUAGCGAGCUAUGAGCUCAGAUAGAUGCCUAUGAUGCAGCCAAGAAGGAUGCUCAGGCCAAGGUUUCUGCACUCGAGGUACAACUCGGGAAUGCCUGUAAGAACAACUCGGUUUAGACGAGCAGGAUGGCAAUGCUCGAGUUUGACCUUUUGGAGAUGAAGACCGAGGUCGUGGAUGCCCGGGUUGAAGCUGAAGGGAUUCGGGCUAAGGCCCACAAGAAAGUGGCUGUUUACUUAAAAGAUGUUGCUGAUGUUCCAAAAAAGUUGAGAGAUGCUUCUGAUCGAGAGAGCAGAAGCAAUGAGUAUGCCUGAUGCAAAUCUCGGAGGGAAACCCUUGAAGAGAUUCAUGCCAGGGGCUUCGAUCUCUCGGAAGAGAUAGCAUAGGCCAAGGCGAAUGAAUAUGACGCCAAAUUCCUCUUGUUUGAUGCCGAAGAUAGUGGAGAAGAGGUCGAUGGGGCCGUAGUCCCCGAGGGGAAAAUAGAUUAGGCUUUUUUCUAUUUUAUUCUUUGUACAGUGUUCUUAGAGAACUUUGUAAAUGCAGCCUCACAUUUUUUCAUACAUGCACAUAUAUAAAGAAACCUUUCGGUUUCUAAUUCGGCCCUGAGGCUUGUUGGGAUGGCUCGUAGGCGCUUAUGUAUUGGGUCUGUAUGACCUCUUAAUAUAGGCUGGCGAUAGUGGCUCUUACACAUCGGAUCGGUACGACCUCUUAGUGUGGGAUGGCGGUAGUGGCUCUUACGCACUUGUCCUUAGGUGUUUUUAGUUUAACUGUUUCGGGCUCAGUCUUCGAGUUGGAUUUUGACUCGAGCUCAUUGGCCCUUAAGUUUUUUAGCUGGACUUUAGGCUCUUACGCGUUAGGUCGGUACGACCUCUUAGUAUAGGCUGGCGACAAUGGCUCUUACACAUUAGGUCGGUACGACCUUUAAUUUUAAGUUGGAGACAGUGGCUCUUACGCAUUGGGUCGAUACGACCUUUAAUUUUGAGCUGGUGAUAGUGGCUCUGACGCAUUGGGUCAGUACGACCUCUUAUGUAGGCUUUAUUUUCCCUCUCUAAAGACUUUUUGAUGUUUUUGUGUUCGCCCGACUCUUCGACGGUUCGAUAAGAACCUCGAUUGUGAGCCCGUUUCGUAGCAGUAAUUGAGCACCUUGGGAGGUUUCGCUCGACGGUUGAAUCGUUUCAAAGACUCUUGUUUGGAGCUGAUAUGAUCGAAGCUCUUUUUGCUUAUGCCGAGGGUAGCCUGAUUAGCCAGUUCUUUUCGAAGUUUUUUUGAAGUAAUUGAAGGCCUGUGAUUUUACAACGACGGUCGGGCGUCCCCGAGUCGUGUUAGUUUGGUUGGCACAGCCUUGUGAUCGUAGUCAUUAUGUUUGGCAGGAGCCUUUCAGUCCCCGAGUGAAGUAGUUUUGGCAUCUAUAUCGAGGGUAUACUUUUUUAGGGGUCUUACAAGUUCGAAUAAUAGCCUUAACUUUAUGAUCAGGAUUACGCUUUUUGUAAGGUCUUACAAAUUUUAACAUGCCUGACUUUUGAGGUCUUACAGAGAAGUUACUUGGUACAAGUAUGGUUCAUGCCUUGCUUAAGGUCUUACAGAUUUGGUUACUUGGUACAAGUGUGAUUCAUGCUUUGCUUGAGGUCUUACAGAUUUGGUAUUGCCUUAUGAGCUUGGGGUUGCCCGCAUGGGGUCUUAUAGCCUCGACUUUUCAAAUCGAUGGGGUGGGUGAUAAUCAGCGACAGUCCCCGAGACGUCGAAGGUUUUUUCGGCUCUAUAGCCAUUUUUUAUAAACUUGGUGUUUCCUUAUUGAGGGCUUAUGAGUUUGAAGUUUUCUGACCCGUAGGUCGAGUUCUUGACGUCAGUCCCCGAGUGUUCGGGUAAUUUUUGGCUUUGGAUCCAUUUCUUGCGAAAGUAUCGAACUCUUUUAAAGUGUAAAGUGUUUUGAUGGAGGAGGAAAUAUUCUUUGAUUACUUGGCACAAGUAUACAUGUUUUUGUCGUCUAGGGCUCAAUCAUUCUAAGCGGACACGGUUCAUUCGACUGUUUGGCCUGAUACAUCAUUUUCCUACUUAGCCCCUUUUUGGUUUAUCUUGGCUUCUUCAAGAAGGUAGUCUUCCGGGGGGAUGCCCCCAGUGUUCGAGGUUGAUUGAAGAGAAGCCUUAAACACUUAUGAAAUUUUCCUUAGGUAUCAUAUAGAUGUUUUCUCGUUAAAAACCUUGUCGGUAAAACCCUUUUUGGGAUAAAACCCGAUCGAAGGAAAAUAGUGCAACGUAUUCUAUGAAACCUUAAGGUCUUCGAGCUGUAUGGUGCUUCAAUUGUUCUGAUCGGGCAUCUACACAAAGGUUAGUGUAAAAAGUAAAUAAAAAGGGAGAUGGUUAUACUUUAGUGGCGAUUAUGCUUUGAGCCUCGGUAGGUCUUCAAUAUUUGCUCCGAGGACAGGGCAUGGUCAUUUGCUUGUUCUAUUUGGGUAUAGCCGAGAAUGUGUCUCGUGACUUCUAUUUCACUAUUUGUUUAUCCUAUGGUUCCUUUGAUGUCGAAGCAUCGAUGCCGGUGCUACGUCGUGUACCCCAAACAUCUCCCUCGCUGCAUGUUGUUCCAUGUACACCGUUUUUAUUCCGUCCUUCGUCGGAAACUUCAUCAUUUGGUGAAGGGUUGAUUGUACUGCUCUCAUGCAGUGUAUCCAUGGCCUUCCGAACAAGGCGUUGUACCUCAUGUCUCCUUCGAUGACAUGAAAUUUGGCAUUUUGAUUAUGCCGGCCACAUUGACCUGGAGGGUGAUUUCCCUUUUUGUUGUUUCGCUCGCCAUGUUGAAUUUGUUGAGGACUCGAGAGGCGAGCACGAUUUGGUCAAGCUGUCUGAGCUGCUCUACCACCCUCGACCCGAUAAUAUUGGCCGAGCUACCUGGAUCCACAAGUACACAUUUAAUUUGAAAUUUAUUCACAAGAAAAGAGAUUACCAAUGCGUCGUUGUGAGGCUGAGACAAGGUCUCGAUGUCCUCGUCACUGAAUGUGAGAGCGUCCUCAGGUAUGUAACCUCGAGUUCGCUUUUCUUUGGUGAUGGAUAUUUUUGUUCUUCUGAUAGUGGGUUCUUGUGGGAUGUUGACCCCUCCCAUGAUCAUGUGGAUGACAUGUUGUAGCUCAUCUGCUUCAUUUUUCUUGUUCGUCUCUUUUUCCAGAACUGAUUUUUGGCCCGGUCGCUAAGGAACUCCCGAAGGUGCCCUUUGCUGAUUAGCCGGGCUGCUUCUUCUCGGAGUUGUCUGCAAUCUUCGGUCCUGUGACCGUGUGUGCCGUGAAAUUCACACACUAAGUUGGGGUUCCUCUACGACAGAUCUGAUAGUACAGGUCUUGGCCACCUGGUGUCUCUAAUUUUACUGAUUGUAGAUACAAUGUUUGAAACGUCAAUGUUGAAGUUGUAUUCCGACAGACGGGGUGCCUCCGUCGGUGCUGUGUGCCUAUUGAAUUCGACUCUGCUCACGAGUCCCCGAGGGUUCUGACCUCGGUCUAUUUUUCGAUCAUUUUGGGGUAUGUUAUGCCUUGGGUCGUUUCUCCUAUCUUCAGUGUAUGGUUGGUACCUUUUCUUGUUUGGCUUAGGCUCCUUUGUUAGGAGUCUACUUGGAUAUACCGCGCCCGAGGGGGCUCCCAGUUGAUCAUCUUCGACCUUGAUCUUUGAUUGGUAUCGGUUGUGGACAUCCGACCAGGUCACGACGGGGUAUUCAACCAAAUUCUGCUUCAGCUGCUUCGAAGCCACAGAGCUUCGCUCAUUCAAGACUUGGUGAAGGCUUGCACUGCCCUGUCAUUAGAGACUGGUGGUAAUUCCAUUCGCUCCAUUUGAAAGAGAGAUACAAACUCCUACAACAUCUCGUUCUCCCUUGUUUGAUUUUGAAGACGUCGGAUUUCCUCGUAGCCACCUUGAUGGCAUCGGCAUGUGUCUUUAUGAAAGAAUCCGCCAGUAUGGAAAAUGAAUCUAUUGAAUUCGGAGCCAGGUUGUGAUGCCACAUCAUGGCACCUUUUGAGAGUGUUUCCCCAAACUUUUUUUUAGCAGGAUGGAUUCGAUCUCGUCUUCCCUCAGGUCGUUGCCCUUCACCGCACAAGUGUAAGUAGUGACGUGCUCAUUGGGGUUCGAGGUUCCAUUGUACUUUGGUAGAUUGGGCUUUCUGAAUUUCUUCAGGAUGGGCUUUGGAGCGGCAUCUGACAGAAAUGGUUUUUGUACGAACUUCUUCGAAUCAACACCCUUUAGAAUUGGGGAUGCACCCAGGAUCUGGUCGACCCUCGAGUUGUAGGUCUCUACCUUUUUGUCGUGGGCUUCUAUCAUCUUUUCGCCCGACUCAAUCCUCUUUGUGAGGUCUUCGAACAUCUUCAUAAUAGCUGGGUCAGCUGCUGACCCGUUGUUGCUCGACCUUUUAGGACCUAUUCGGUUCGAGGGGCAGUUUCCGGGGCCGCUGUGCUUGGGGUUUUUUGGUGGCUUUGCAGUUGAGCAAUCGCCAGUUGUUGUGCAUGUAACAUUUCAAAAAUAACGUGAAGGAUAACCUCUUGUUCCUCCCGAUCUGGGGCUUUCUGAGCUUCUUGUUGGUCUCCUUGUCAUGCGCUCCUGUUAGUGUGAGAGCUUAUAUCGACGUGUUGGGUAUCGCGUGAGACCACAUCCGAGGGGAUUGGCUCUGGCGCGUCCUCAGGGUUUAGUGGUGGUGCGCCAAUACCUGGAAUAGCUACACCAUUCUCUCCAUGGUCCUCAAGACCGUUGUUUUCAUAUGCAUUCACUGAGUUAGACAUUUUGACCUGAAAUCAAAGAUUCUUAGACAAGAAAAAACAUGAAAGAUAACUUGCGUUAUGUAGUAAACCAGCAAGCAAACAAUCACUACUAUUUUUAGCCCCACGGUUGUGGUUCCAAAAAUACGUGAUCUGUUUUUAUGCUAGUUGUUAGGCAGUAGAUACUGAGUGUGAGACUAGAAAAUAAGAUAAGAACUUGAGAAUAAUAUGUUUAAGCAAACCGAGCGGCUGAGAAUCGGAGCCUCGAGCCUGGCUAUACGGGGCCUCGAGGUCGAGCUCGAUUCUGAGCUAUGAAUGGCCGAUGAAGGACUAACACCUUUGAGGGCUUUGAUGAGGGCUCUUUAUGGCCAAUAAUGAGCAAUAAAUUAAGAACAAUAAAUAGAACACUACAAAUAUAAACAAUAAAUGCAAGCAAUGAAAUCAAGAGAAUAUGUUUAGAGAGCAGAGAGAAUGUUCUUUUAUUGAAUAUUGUGAAUGCGAUGCUUCUUACAAAAUGACUAGGGUCCCUUUAUAUACUAGGGGGAAUCCCAAUAUAGUACAAGUGUAUUUAUUACAAAGAUAUAUGGCUGGUACAUCAUUUAAUGCCACAGUACGGGCUUGAUCUAGCAUAAUAGAUUUGGUCAGCUUUAGUCGUGUGCCUUGGGAACUUCCCAUUGGUCUAUCAUAGCCGCUAAUUUGUAUUGCCUCGAGAUCGAGCGUAUGGAAGCCCUCGGAGCCGGGCCUUGAGCCUUUCGAGAACGGGCUGUAGGACAUCAUAAUGAUCAUAAAAUCGGGCUCUUCGAUUUUAGCCAUAUACAAGGCACAAUCGGGCACUUGGGGCAUAAGCCUCACAGAAGUAAGCCCCACACGUGAGACUCAGGGUGUUUUGCACUGUCUUACCCAAGGGCAAGUCUCGGGCGAGUCCCGAGCGUUGAGCGUUAGGCAUAUUUAGAAGGCACAAUCGAGCGCUUAGGUCAUAAGCCUCACAGAAGUAAGCCCCACACGUGAGACUCAGGGUCUUUUGCAAUAUCUUGCCCAAGGGCGAGCCUCGGGUGAGUCGUAAAAAAGCCUUUUAAAACACUAGUCAUAUAUGAGAAUUAUUUUUAACCCGAAAUAUACUCAUAUAUUUAAGAUAAAAUUAUUUUACUGGCGCUUAUUUCGUAAUUUUAGUUAUUUAUCUUAACCUUGGCCUCAAACAAUAAUGGCUUUUCUAAAAAUUGAGCAACAACAAGUUAUUAUCAUAGUAACAAAAAUAGAAAAUAUCGAAGAAUGUUUUUACGUUGCAUGAUAUGCAUUGGUUCAUAUAAGUUAAGUACAGGCAGAAGGAAAUGCCAAAGGAAAAAUAAAGCAUUAGAAAGGGAGGACAUUAAGGAUCACACCACACAUAUUUGCAUUCACCUCCUACGAAAUGGCAUUUCCCCCAUUUCACCCUACUCACCACCACCACCGUAAUUUUUUUCCAUUUUUGCUUUUCUUCCUCAAUGAUUUAGUGCAUAUAGUAAGCAAAGAUGGACAAGAGUGUGGCUCCAAUCAAAGUUCCCACAGCGGGCAAAGCGACAGCAGCAUCGCUGGUUGGCGACGGAGCCGGGGCGUCACUUGGGCUCAUUUGAGCCAUGGCAGCGCUCAUGGAGGCUGCGGCAACUAGGGCGGCACAAGUGAUCUUCUUCAUCUCCAUAGCGAAAGUUGAUCAGACGAGCUGAAAUAGAGAUAAGGCGAAAAUUAACGUCUCAACGGAAAGUUGAGAUGUAAUCGCCGAAUUUUCCUUGCCUGCCUUGUUAUUUGAGGUUGCGGUAAGGGGCUUUAUAGAGUGGGAUACGAGAAAUUAUCGGUAUUUUGUGCGAAGAAUUUACGGAGGAGAGUGAUUUUGAGGAAAUGUUUUGAACGAGUCUUUUGUGUGUUGAAAGGUUGUUAAUUUAUCGUAAUUUUUCAUUUGUUCCUUCUGUCUCCUUAUUUAAGAUAUUUAUUUGCCGUAAAGUUUGAGGUCUGAAGAAAUAAUUUUAUAAAAAUUAAUGCCAUGUUUUGAGCAAGUCUGCUGCUACUGCAGCAUACAUCCUUACAUAUAAUAUUCUUGUUGCAUGUUCCUACCAUCAUUCAUAGUGAUAAUUGUUGAGUCGAGUAUAUGCCAUGACUCGGAAUUCCAACCCUUGGGAUCGUGAUGACACCUAAUAUUUCACUUACUAGGCAAGUCAAUGUUAGCUAUUUUUAAUAAUCAUUUUUAACAAUCCAAAUUAAAUGAUAACAAUAAAACCGAAUAGUCUGAAAUAAAGUGAUAAACUAAUAAACGACGUAAUCCAAAUACAAUCCUAGAAACUGGAGACACGAAUACAUGAGCAUUUAGAGUGCUACAAAUAAGGUCUGAACAAAGUACAACUGUUUUGAAACUCAAUAAAAUAAUAAUGCUAGGACGGAAGGGGAAUUCAGGGCUGGAGACGUCGUACAACUAUACCUCAAGUCUCCAACUGCGACUGGAUCCGAGCAGAAAGCUACUAAGCGUUGUUAGGAUCAGCACCAAUAUCUGCACACGAAGUGAAGAAGUGUAGUAUGAGUACAACCGACCCAAUAUACUCCAUAAGUAUCUAGCCUAACCUCUCGAGGAGCUAGUGACGAGGCUAUGACAAGGCACCUACGUAAAAUAAACAUGUACAAGUUUAUAUAAAGCAACAAAAUAACAGUAAAAUGAUAAACACUAACUGGGAAGGGACAUGCGGAAAAGGGAGAAUAUAAUAGAUAUGGCAAGUAUGAAGACACGAAAUACUAAGUAAAUCGCCAAACCGGAAUUCAGUCAAAUCAAUGAUAUGAAAAUGGCAUGGCAUCAUCCUUCGAGCUUUUAUUCUCGUCUUCACCAUGUAAUAAUAUGAAUAAAAUUACACGGCAUAACCCUUCGUGCUUUUACUCUCCUCCUCACCAUGAUAAUAUGAAUGAAAUGGCAUGGCAUUACCAUUCGUGCUUUUACUCUCGUCCUCGCCAUGUAAUAAUAUGAAUAAAAUGGCAUAACAUCACCUUUCGUGUUUUUACUCUAAUCCUCACUAUGUAAUAAUAUGAACUCGAAUAAUAAACAAUGCCGGAUAUAAUUUAACUUCAAAUGUAGUGCCAUGAUAUCAAUAUGCAACCUUCAAAAUAUUCAACACCUUUAAAAUAAGCAAUAAAUAAGAAACGAAUAAUUAAAGAAGUAAUAAUCUAGUCUAAGCAUGGAUAAUAUAAUUAAUGAAACAAUAUAAUACAAAGAAACAAGUUCCACCCACAUGUUUUAACUCCAUGACAACGCAUAAGUACUCGUCACCUCACAUAUACAUUGUCCCCUCACAUAAAACACGUAGCAAGUAGAUCAACAAGUCAUAAUCCCUCAAGUCAAGAUGAACUACAAAGCUUACCUCGCUCCACAAUCAAAGAAAUCAAUCAACCACGGAUUUACCUUUUGAACAAACCUCCAAACCAACCAAAUCAAGCAAAUUAUCGAUCAAACUAUUUAAAAUAAGCCUUAGAACAAAAAAGUCAACUCUGGACCCGCUAGGUAAAAAUCCGAGGUUCGGACCAAAACCCGAUUACCCAUUCACCCCCCGAGCUUGGUUAUAUGAUUUGUUCUGAAAUCCGACCUCAAUUUGAGGUCUAAAUAUCAAUUUUACAAAAACUUCCAAUUCUACCCAAAUCCCUAAUUUCUACCAUGGAAAUCCUAAUUUUGAUGUUGAAUUCUAAUGAAAAAUAAUGGGUAACUGAACGAAAAUGGAUUAAAGUCAAUUAUCAAUAAAUUUAGGAAGAAAUGUCUCUUAAAAAAUCGCUUCUAGUGCGUUUAGGCUUGAGAAAUAAUGUAAAAUGUGCUAAAUCCCUAUUUUCCCCUCUUUUACCCAGCUGCAGAUGUCGCAAUUGCGAUGUCUUGUUCACAAUUGCGAACCUCGCAAAUGCGAGACAAGGGUCAGAAUGCGAACCCUACCUCUGAACACUAAAAGUCAUAAAUACGAUAUUUAGCUCCCAAAUGCGAACAACCCAUCUUAGCAAAUGUAGCAAGAUUCUUCGCAAAUGCGAAAAUAUCCCCUCAGAGCACUGAGUCACAAAUGCAACUCUAAGAUUGCAAAUCUGAUUUCUGACUGUUCGCAAAUGCGAACCUAUUCCUUGCAAUUGCGAGACCACCCAGCCCAGGCCCCUGAUCUCAAAUACAAUAUCUUGAUCACAAAAGUGAGGCUUGCAUUUGUUAGGCAGACCUCGCAAAUGCGAGAUCUGAAGACUACACCAACAAUAAAAGCACACCAGCUAUUCCAACUUCAACCAAACUUAUUUGAAACACGUCUGAAACUCAUUUGAGCCUCUUGGACCCCAAACUAAAUAUGCACACAAGUGUAAUAACAUUAUACGAACUCGCUCGCGCGAUCAAAGCUCCAAAAUAACACCUAGAGCUAUGAAUCAGACAUCAAAAUGCAUGAAAUUUGCAAAGAAGUUCAAGAACUUUUCAAUCCACAACCGAGCGUUCGAAUCCUACUAAAUCAAUUCCAUUUUGUACCAAAUUUUGCAGACAAAUUUUAAAUAGUAAAAUGGAGCUAUACCAAGUUCCAAAAUAAAAAUUCGAACCUGGUAGAAAUAAAGUAACCUACAGUCAAACUUUGAAUUUUUCAAUCUUCAAAUUACUAGUUUUCAAAAAUUUGCGUCAAAUCAAGUUAGGGACAUUCAAAUUUAAGUUUGGGCAUACACCCAAGUUCAAAAUUAUGAUACAGACCUAUCAGAAUCGUCAAAAUAUCGAUCCGGAUCCGUUUACAUAAAAUAUUGACUGUAGUCAACUCAAAUUAUUUUUAAAGCUAAAAUUCAUGUUUUCUUCAAUUAUUCGCACCAAAAUUUUUCAAAAAAAUACACGGACUGUGCAUGCAAAUCAAAAUCACUAAAUAGAGCUAAUCGAGAUCCCGAAACAAGGAAAUAAAGGCUAAAACUGAAAAUGACCUAUCGGGUCAUCACAUUAUGCAAUUAUAUUUUGAUGAUUAGCAAACCAUAGCAGAGAAUCAUGUUUCAUGUUCCAGGUUGAUGUGCUACUAGAGUGUUAUGCAGAUAAGAUAUAUAAAUGCCAAGUGAACUAGGUUAAUAGCAGACCAAUGGUAGAAUGUUGACCAUACACGGAAUAUCAGAAUACCCAUGCAAGCUAGAUCCCUCAAAAAGUCAUGUAUGUGCUUUAAAAGGAUUAUGUCAAUUGGAGAGAUUCAUGGUCAAAAAGGAUUUUGUAUUAAAGGAAUAAAAUUGCGUGUAAAUAAGAAGGUUGACGAGUUGGAAAAAAAAAAGAAAGCCAAAUCAAAACAGGAGAAGUUUUUCUUAAUCGAAAAAUUCUAGGUUUUGGAGUAUUAAUUGAAGAACAUUUUUGGUAAACUUUGCAACUAUAAAAGGAGAUUUUUGCAAAAGUGGAAAAACCAUUCAACUUUUGUAGACAAGUGAAUAUGGGGUUGCUUGUAUUGGUAUGCAGUGAGUUAUUCUAUGUUCCCACGAUGGUUCUUCAAUACAGUCAUGCCAAUUUUAUUUUGAUUUAGGGAUAACUUUUUUCAUAUAUAAAGUCUUAUUAGAUGUCUCACCUAGGUCAUUGGUGGCAGCAUAAUACAUAGAAAAGUUAUUCCACUUGAAGCCAAAGAGAUAACAAAUCUUGUUUAUCACUUGUUAUCAAAUGGCUUGCUAUUAUAUGUUAUUAUGUAACGAGGAAUGCCAAAACAAUAGAUAAUAUUUACUCGGAUAAAAUUUGAAACAUUCUACUUCUUUAUUCCUUGAGAGCAACAACUUCUGCCUGUUUUGAGAAGUAAUCGAUUGCAGCCAAGAUGUACAAGUGUCCGCCAAAAGAUUUCGGUAAUGGCCCAAAAUAUCCAAUCCCCAAGCGUUGAAUAACCAAGAUUCAACGGUCGAAUGUAGCACUUCGGGAGGCUGAUAAAUAAAGGUUGCAUCGAACUGGAAAGCCUUGCAUCUUCGAACGUAGUCCGAGCUAUCUUUUACCAUUAUUAGAAGUGAAGAUUUGGUCAAGACUAUGUGCUUCAAAUACCCCAAAAUGUGGUUCUUGCAAAUCUUGCAGUGGUUCAUCUUCCCCUAAGCAUCCUAAGAGUAUUCCCUCGAAUGAUCUUCUAUAUAAAGUAUCCUUGUAGUAGAGGAAACACAUAUCGCGAUGGUAAAUUUCAUCAUUCUUUUUAGAUUUUCUGGAAGUAUUUUGUAGCUCAAGUAGUCGAUGAUGGGUUGUCUCAAAUAUUCCUUCUCAUCUUCAUAAACAACAAAAAGAUGCUCGAGUUCAUUUUCUUCACUUUCACCCUCAUUUGGCGGCGAUACUACCCAUUUUUGGCAGAUAACAAUUUACUUUGAUCAACCAGAGUUAAUGAUGAAGCUAGAGCAGCUAAGCAUCAGCCUUCAUAUUUUCUUUCCUAGGCACAUGUUGAAUAGUCAUUUCUUCGAUCCAUCUUAUUAAUGUUUUAGCAUAAUCAUGAUACGGGCAUAGUUUAUGUUUCUUGACCUAAUAGCUACCUAAAAGCUAAUUGAUCACUAAUUGGAGAUACCAAAGACUUGCAAUUGCAACCGCUUCCUAUCAACAUGCAUUUCAAUACCAAGUAUUAAUGCUUGAUAAUCAGCAAUAUUGUUGGAGCAAGUUGUGUCAAUAUAAAGGAGUAGGGAAGAACCUCCCCUUGAAUAGUGAAAAAUACUAUGCUAGAACCAGCUCCUUUGCAAUGUAUAGCACCAUCAAAGUACAUCUUCAAUGGAGGUUGUACUUUAACAGCCAUUGCAUCUUCGUCAGAUAGUUCAUACAGUUAGUUUCCAAUCAUCAAGUAUCAGGUGAUAUGCCAAGAAGUUUGCCAUGUUUGUACUUUUAUGGCCUUUUGAGGAAUGUAUACAAUCUCGAAUUAUUAAAACUGGAGGUAUCACCUUGCUAGUCAAUCGCUAAGUUUGACAAUACAAACUUGAAGAGAAUUUCUCUAGAAGCAAGAUGAACGACAUGAGCUUGAAAGUAGAGAUUCAACUUUUGAAUUGAGAAGACUAGUGAAAAACACAACUUCUUAAUUGGCGAAUAAUUCAACUCAUUUGGUUUCAUCAUUCUGCUCAAGUAGUAAGGGAUUUUUCUUUCCCCUGAUUAUUUUUCGUGGGCCAAUAGUGCUCCAGCAGGCUUUUCUUGUGCCACUAUGUAUAAUAUCAAUGACUUUCCACACAUAGGGGCUGCUAAAACUAGAGGCUUUAUCAAGUAGGAUAUAAUGCUAUUAAAACAUUGCUACAUUCUUGGUUCCACUUGAAAGGGUUGGUGUCUCCCAGCUAGAUUCGAGAUGAAUAUCCUAAGAUAAGCUAGUUUUCCUUGAAAAAUUUUCAAUUCAUGAAUAUCCGGAGGCUUAGGAAUUUUCAAAAUUGCAUCAACUUUGGCUUGAUCAAUUUUGAUCCCUCGACGUCGAACAAUGAAAUCAAGGAAUUUUCCUAAAGUAACUCCAAAGGCACAUUUCAAUGGUUUCAUUCUAAGUUGGUAUCUCCGAAGCAACUCGAACACCAUUCUCAAAUCUUGCAAAUGAUCACCCCUCUCUCUUGACUUUACUACCAAGUCAUUAAAUAAAAUUCAACAUUCUUAUGAAGGAGGUCAUCAAAGAUAUUCUGCAUAGCCCUUUGGUAAGUUGCACCAGCAUUUUUCAAGCCAAAAGGCAUAACAUUGUCGCAAUAAAUACCCUUGGGGUGCGAAAUACAGUAAGCUCUUAAUCUUUUAGUGUCGUGCAAAUUUGGUUAUAUCCUAGUGAACCAUCCAUGAAAGACAUUGCCUCGUAACCGGUAGUAGUAUCGAUCAUAAGCUCUGGAAUAGGAAGCGGGAAUUCAUAAUUGGGGCACGCACUGUUGAGAUUUCUAAAGUUAAUACAAAUUCGAUUUUGGCCUUACUUCUUCGUCACACGGACUGUACUUGAAAUCCAUGUGGGGUAUUUGAUUUCACAAAUAAUCCAGCUUCAAUGAGUUUAUUAACUUCAUUUUCAAUCAAAGGGACCAAGUCCGACCUAAAGCGCAUUUGAGCCUGCAUAACAUGACGAGAACCAUUCUUGACCGCCAGGUGAUGGACUGCUAGUUUAGGAUACAAGCCAAGCAUCACUUUAUAACUCCAAGCAAAGACAUCUGUACUCUUUGAGUAACUUAACAUAAGCACUUCGCUCAUCAACUUCGAGUAGAGGACUUAGAUAGGUGAGCUUUUGUUUUUCAUCAGUACUAAGGUUAACUUCUUUCAAGGCGUCAAGUGUUGUAUUCACCCCUUCUUCAAGUUCGGGCGGAGCAUCUUUUACGUCUUCAUCUUCUUGAGAAUUUCCAUAGUUUAGAGAUGUGUCAUAACAUGAUGAAACCUUCUCAUCAUCCUCCAUUAGAUAUGACAUAUCAUGCUCGCUUUCUACAGUAACAUGAUACGAAACCCACACUUUCUUCAUCUUCAUUGCAUUCUUUGGUGUAUAUCAUAGUGUAAACUUUGUCUUCAGUACUUCUUCACAUGAAACCAUAAGUUUUGUUUGUUGCCUCAUUCUAGAAGGAACCAAACUUUAGAAAUCCUUAUAGAUCUUUUGGAUCCUGAGAGAAGUGAGUGUUCUUAUGUUUCGAUAACCUCUUUGGAAUUUGUUCUUCUUCUUCAAUGGACCUAACAUCUCAAAUACUGAAAUCCUCACAGUUGAUUUUCCAAGUAUAUCAAAGACGAAAGUCUUGUUGGAAGCGGAAGAUUCAUCUUCUAUGAUGAUAUAGUUAUUGCUUGCCCUUCUUAUUGAGAUGCGAACUAGUAAGGGUUGUUCAUAUCCCAAACCUUCACGUGUUUGCCUUGUAGCAGCUUCUAAUGGGAUCUUUCUUAAAUUGAUGGCUAAUUAGGGUUGUAUCCAGCCUUUGCGAAUAGCUUGUAAGCAUUAGGAUCAAAAUCUUUAUCUGCACGCUUCGUAGGAAGUGCCAUAUUUUGCAAAAGACUUUGUCUAGGAACCCUCCAUGCAGCUUUGAGGGAAACUUUAUUGCCUCAAUUCGUUUGAUCCGAAGAGUUAGCCCCUUUAGCACAUUAGUUUGGAAGCUGCAUGAUGUACCUUCCUCUUUCGUUAUCUUUGGGACAUAAUAGAAGUAGGAGCUACCUUCUUGCUAGAAGAAAUUAUGCUCCCUCUAUUAUAUUUAUUUGGAUUAGGGUAUGCCUCCUCAGCAGUGACUUUGACUUUACCAGCAGUCACCUCAGCUCUUUUAGUUGUGAACUAAUCAUUCCUUCUCCUUGUGAUAUCACCAGCUUUUAUCACCUUCACAACAUGGUACUUCAAGUAUAACUUUGUAUCAGUGAAGUGUGAAUCAGCCUCGAUGAAAGACUUGCCAUCAACAACUAUCUUCUUCUCCACCUUCGUAGUACUUCAAACACUAAUGUUAGGUGGAUGGGAUCACUUUACUCUCAUGUAUCCAAGACCUUCUAAGGUAGACAUUGUACGAAGUCUUUGUAUUGAUCACAUGCAAACCAUGCACUUGAUUUUAUAUCUCCAAUAGUGAUCUCUAAUUUAAUUGAGCAUGUGGCUCUUUUUCCCCCCAUAGUUGAUUCCUUAAAUCAUCAAGUGUCUUUUCUAGAGUUUGUCCACGGGAAUCCAAGUUCCUUCGUGAUGCGAAUUGUAAUGAUGUUAGUUGAGGAUCCUCUAUCAAUCAAAAUUCAAUUUACCCUUUCAUCGCGCAUAGAGCCAAUAAUGUAUAAUGAACGAUUAUGAGGAGUGUCACAUAGUAUUAGGUCAUCAUUUGUGAACGUGUCUUUUUCCUUGCAAGCACUAACUUCUUGAGGAACGGACUCGAUGGGAUUUUUGAAGAUGGUGCCAAGGGUAAGUCAUCACUCUUUUCUUAUCAACAUUGCAAUAAGAGGUCGAGAUAUCAUCAUGGGAAAUCUUCGUGCUGAACCAACUUCGCAAGAACUCCACCAAGGUCACUGGAUGUCAUGGCUUUUGAUGGUAAUGCAGCUCCACUUUUGCUUUCUUCAUAUGCUUAAUUGGAUGUUGUUUCCUUGAUCUUUUCACCAUCAUUUGUCUUGUUGGUUGGUUGGUUGAUUCUUUUUGCAUACCUCUCUUGUGGCGUCUACGAUGAGUUACCAUCGUCAUCAGAUUGAUCAACUUCCCCUUUGUUUUUCUCCGAUAAUUCUUCAUCUUUACUUUCCUUGAAUUUGCAUAAUUUAUGUGGAACGGAUGAGCCAAAGGAGAUAGAAACUUGACUUUCACUUGCCUUCUCAUGUUCAAACACAAUUUUGUUUUCCUGAUCCAAAUCUAUAACUUUGUCCUUGAAGCCAAAACUCUUCUCAAGAGGGUGACUUACAAGUUGAUGAUAUUUGAGUAAUUUGCAUCAUUAGUUUUCCCAGCUUCAUUUGUACGUUUCUUCUCCUGAAAUUCAAUGAGCUUUAGCUCGAGGAGUUCUUCUAAAAUUCCAGGCACAUUAGAAUCCAAAAUGCGUACUCUUUUUCUUGAAUUUCUUUUAGGGUCAACUUUCCACUUGGCUUAUCUCGAAAAGAGUUGAUUUCAUACUCUACUUCUUGAUUACCUUCGUCAUGAACUUAACAAUUGAUGUAUUGACAUUCAUAGCUUCUCUGCCUUUAGAGUAGGGCAUGAACUUGUUCCAUAUUAUGACAUCUUACUUGUCAAUACCUUUACAAAGCUCGUAGACCAACAACCUUCAAUUUCCAACAGAUGCCAUGCUUAAUUCCAUGUCAUGGGAACGAGUAAGUUCUUCGAAUGACAGGCUUAAUGCCUUGCAAGAUGUAACGAAUUCCCAACACAUGCUUUGGAUGCUCAUCUCUAUGCCAGAACCUUCGCUAAGCCUAUCUUUGCAGUUGAAGCUUGUGUUCCUCCAUCGAUUUAUAAAGUCGAUAACUGAUUCGUCCUUCCGUUGACAAGUAUUUAUAAGGUCUACUAUGCUUACAGUGUGCCUUGUGCUAUAAAAUCGAUUGAGCAACUCUUGCUCUAGUUGAUCCCUGUUAUGAACAAAUCCAGCCUCGUGGUUUAUAUACCAAUCAAAAGUUUCUCCUUCUAGUGAGCGGACAAACUUUUUGAAGAUGUAAUCUCUAUAAGUCCCAGCAUUAAUGUUUCAUGUCUCAGCAAAAUGCGACACAUGUUGCUUUGGAUUACCUUUGCCGUCAAACUAUUAAAAUUUUGGAGGUUUAGCCCGCAUGCAUCUUUAACAUAUUGAUCCUUGCAGGGUAUGGCUUUGUGUAUACAAUGAGCACUUAGAAGAAACUUCUUAAUUAUUUUGACAGUCCUUUCAAUGAAUUCCUUUAGUUGAUUGAUUGGAAUCAUUCCUUCUGAAGAGAUAGGAUUUCCUUGGUGGACACAACUUGUUGUGGUGGAGGAUCAAUCUUUUGAACUUCUGGGCACUUGUCAGGUGCAUUAUUGGAUUCUACUUCUAUCAAGACUCUCACUCUAUCUAUUAACUUGUCAAUUCAAGCAACUUUAUUUUGCAUGUACUUGGUCAAGCCAACAAUUGCUUCUGUCAAGUUUACUAACUGCUCCUCACAAAUGAAACAUUUGUCACCAUUGCUUGCAUGACUAUGGUGGAUGACAAAGAGGAGAAUAUAUUGUCACAUAGAUUGAUACUCAAUAGGCACACACUAUGUGGUUUAAAUGUGGAUGAAAAAUCAUUCAAAGUACCAUCAUCUUCGUUCAUAGCAAAGUUCUUGGAUCCGGAGAGGUUAAGCAAAGCUAGAGUCUCCUUAAUCAUUUUUGCAAUAUUGCUUCCUCCUUCAAGUGGGUUUGUAGAGGAUCUCAAUCCUUUUGGGGAUGAAGAUCUAAAAACAUGAGUUGAUACGGAAGACACUUGAAGUGUUUGUUGUCCUAGAAAGCUUGCUUUUCUCCUUGUAACUGGUCUAAAGCUUUCAAAGAUAACAUCGAGGAUACUUUUCACAUCAAUGUAGAACGUGAAAUUAGCAACAUCAGAUGACAUCGAUUUGGAAUUGAUCUUCUAUAAAGCCAUUUCAAUGUUCUUGAACUUUGAUAGUCGAAAAGAUGAGAUAAGAGGUAGGGAUGGGUGCCAGAAUUUGUAGACAAUAUUGCAACAAUCAUAGUAUUUUUAUUUCAAAUAAUUUGAGUGUUUUAAUCUCUAUGAAUCAUCUGAUUCUUCUAUUUUAAGAUAAAUUCAAGAGCCUUUGAGCUUGGUUUUAAACUUAUAUUUGUUGCAAUGAACGAUGAUCUUGAGCUUAACUAGCACGAAAAGAUGAUUCGAACUCGCACUCCUUGAACCUUGACCGUUCUUUGUUCUUGAGUUUGAACUUGAUUUCUUGAACUUGUUUGCCUGAAGCUGGAAGAAGCUUGUAGAGAAAUUUGCGGCGUUUGAUCCACGAGCUCUCUCUUACUUCUUGUUAUGAUUUAUGGUGUCUUUUCUGAAUUCUGAAGAACCAUAUUUAUAGUUGUGGGAGAGAAGAGUUGAGAUGAAAAUAAACUCUUUCCAACCAAUUGGAUUGAAGCGUAACAAGAUCGUAUUUGAUUGGCUGUAAUAUAUUACUUUUACACGUGGCAAAACUUUACUGGCCUAUUAGUUUAACUUGGCAUGCAUUAUCAUUUUGACACGUAUCAUGAUCGUAUUGGCUCUUCCAUUUGACUUGGCAUGCCAUGUCAUUUGACACAUGACACCAAAUUAGGCCUCUAGGAAAAUGACAUCUCGGGCUGCAUGAAGUGGACUCAUCAUUUGUAGCCCAAUUACAUGGGGUAGGAAAAUUGAUUUUGCCUUAUUAUUGGACUUAGAUAAUUAAUCUCAUUAAAUUAGCCCAUAAUAUUUAUUUGUACCAUUAUAUCUCGAGUUUAAGAUAUAGUCUAAAUUAUUUUAUUAAUUUAAUUCUAAUAAAAUUUAUAUGUAUUUAGUUAGACAAUACAAUAACAAGUCUAUUUUUAUUAGGGAAAGUUACAGAAAUGUCCUAAAAAAGUCCCAACUUAUUAACCUCUAGCCAUUAAUUAUAGACUUACCAAAACUAGCCAAGCACAUAUAAAAAUUUAAAACUUAAAAAAAAUAAGAUUGUUUUCUCUCCAAGAAUCACUCACAAAGAUCUCCUUCCAUAUUUUUAAGCGUGAUUAGCAACAUUAGAUGCAAGACGGAAAGGAAAUUUCAUGGAUGAUGUAGCAAAUAAAGUGAUGAAAUACAAUAUANNNNNNNNNNNNNNNNNNNNNNNNNNNNNNNNNNNNNNNNNNNNNNNNNNNNNNNNNNNNNNNNNNNNNNNNNNNNNNNNNNNNNNNNNNNNNNNNNNNNNNNNNNNNNNNNNNNNNNNNNNNNNNNNNNNNNNNNNNNNNNNNNNNNNNNNNNNNNNNNNNNNNNNNUACACAAGAUUCUAAAAAUCUAAGAAAAAUGACUUUUUUCAAUGGGUAUGAUUGAGAUUCAUUGAAAACAUAUAGAUGAGUCAAUAUACAAAAUUUGAGGAAGUUUGGAGUUGAUUUGGACUGAUUUGGUAUCAAACGUUGUAGUUAAAAUCGAGUUCAUAUUUGUUUCUGCGAAACAUGUAUCAAACAUUUAUCACACAUAUAUCUCACAUGCAGAUAUACAUGGAUAUACAUAUGAUACACAUUUGAUAUAAAUAUGAUACAUAUGUGAUACACAGUGUGAUACACCUAUCAUUUUUUGCAUGUUCAUCUUCUACUUCGAAUUUUUAAUUCAAACCACCUCAAAACUCCAACAAAUCAUCCCAAAACUGAGAUUCAAGUUUCUUAAGAUGUUCCCAAUCUAUUCUAACAACACCCACUUAAAAGAAAGCAAAAAUUUAAUCUUUUUUGGCUACAAAUAGCUAAUUGGCUAAUGUCGAUAAUAUUUGGCUAUAUUAAUAAUAUCUUAUAAAUUGGCCAAUGGUUAUAAUAAGCUAUUUAUAAACGGACAUAGCUAGUAAGUUACCUUUUUAUUAGGCUUAGAUUUUGUACGCGGUGAAAGUUAAUGGUUUGACCCAAAAGAACCUUAUGAUCUUUUCUCUAUGUCUUCUAAUGUAUUAGAGGUGAUAAAGUUCAUCGAUCAGUAAUGUCAUGCAGUACAAUAGAUGUAAGUUCUUAUAUGCUAACAAAUAACAUAGACGCACUAAGUCUAAUUAGGGUUAAAUUUAAGCGGAUACAUGUGCUAAAUAUAUCAAUAUAUAAGUUGUUACGUAGUAGUUGGCUUAAAAUUUAGAUGGCAAAGUAAGCUCUUCACCAUUAUGUCCACAACUAAACAACGUGCGACUUGCCCUCAUGUUUAUCAUAUCGCUUCGGUCCAACUUCAUGGAAAAAAGAUUCUAGUCAACCGCCCAAAAGAACUAGUAUAUAUUUCGUAAUGUCCUCUUAAAUAAUGAUGUGAUUAUACUACUCCCUCCGUUUCAAAUAAGAUAAGCUACUUUUCUUUUUUGUUUGUUCCAAAAUAAAUGACACAUUUCCAAAUUUGGAAAUAAUUCAACUUUAAAUUCUUUAUUUUACCAAACUUACCCUUAAUAAAAAGCUUUUAUAACCACAUAAAUUUCAUGGUCCCACAAAUGUUUUACCCCUUAAGCUUUUAAAACGACAAAUUUAAAAGUCUUCUUCUUUUUCUUAAACUCCGCGCCGAGUCAAACUAUCUCAUAUAAAUUGAAAUGGAUGAAGUAAUAUUUAUGUUGUUGUCUAACGCUUCAAAAAUGGAGUAGGAUUUAAUUUAUAUACUCCACAUGAAAGUCACACGAAUAAAUAUAAUAAUAAGUUAUUGCCAUCAACGUCGAGCUAGCUUAUAAACGCACGAAAUCUUGCUAAUUAUGCCAAUAUAUAAGGGAGGGAUGUCUUGAUCAACUAAUAUAUAUAGACUAAAGAAAAUAAGAACAAAAACAUUCCAACAGAAAUAAUGAAGUCCACUCUAUUAAUGUUCAUGAUUUUGGCUUUGGCCAAUUUUACAUGUAGAGUGGAUUCCCAAUUAGCCAAGAACAUCUUCUUGCUAGGAGGUCAGAGCAACAUGUUCGGUUUAGGAGGUGUUGUAAAGAAUAGUUGGGACGGUGUCAUUCCUCCUGAAUGUAAACCUAAUCCGGCCAUUCUCAAACUCGACGCCAAGUUGCAGUGGGUUGAGGCAAAAGAACCUCUACAUAAUGAUAUUGACACGAAUGUGACAUCUGGGAUAGGACCUGGGAUGCCAUAUGCGAAUGCCAUACUGAAAAAUGAUUCGCGUCUCGGGGUAUUGGGCUUGGUUCCAUGUGCAGUUUCAGGGAGCAAAAUAACUAACUGGCAAAAUGGAACUUUCCUCUAUAAUCAGUUGGUAAGAAGAGCAAAGGCUGCUGUGAGAGGUGGGGGUGUUAUUAGAGCUAUGCUUUGGUAUCAAGGGGAGAGUGAUACAGUGAGGAAAACGGAUGCUGAUGCAUAUAGAGGAAGAAUGCAAAAGUUUGUCACUGAUUUGAGAAAUGAUCUGGGAAUAUCAAAACUUCUGAUUAUCCAGGUAAAAAGUUGGAUCUUCUGUUUAAAUUUUAAAUUCUUUUGAUGCAUGGGUAUACAUGCAUAUUGGACCAUGUUUGCCUAAUAAUGUUAAAUUUCACCUUUGCAACUCAAAUAUUUUUGUUUGAUAUUUAUCUUUUUCAUUAAAAUAAUUAAUUUUAUGGCAUCCGUUGGAAAAAAAGUAUCCUAGCUAACUUCAAGGGGGGCAAAGUGAAACUUAGGCUAGCUGCAACAUUAAAGGGAUUCGCAAUUUCGCAUUGGUUAACACACACAUAUAUAUACUGGGUAUAUAUAACGGGUAUGAUGAUGAUGAUAUAUAUGUGUGUUGUUAUAGCAGUAUAUUGAGGAACUUAGUAAAUACCGAUGGGGUGAAAUUUUUUGAAGACUUGAAUGAUGGUUAAGUACGUUUGAUCUACUUCAAAACUCCACUUGUGCAUUAUGCGGAUAUGAGAUAAAAAAAAUUAUUUCAAAUACCAGGAAUAAAUGUUGCUUUUAUUGUCUAUGUAAAAAUGCAAACUAAUUUAAAAGUAGAAUACAACACGUUAACAAUAUGAUGUCAACAAAACCUUGACCUAAUAAAAUGUUGACUUUUACAUCUGGUUGAAAUUUUCAGUUUUUAUUUGACAGAGCUAUGCUUUCGACUAAUACUUAAAUCAAGAUAUUAUUGUUCUCAGGUCUAAUUUCUGCGAAUCAAACAAAUUAUGCAAACCAUAUUAAAUUUUCAAAUUACAACAUUUAAAAACUGAUCAGCCUAUUGUAUGUAGCACUUUGAUGUUUAUGAGAUUGAAAAUAUGGAAGUUGAACCUAAUCUUUACUUUUUUCUUUGGGCUUGAUUUAUCAUUUUUUAUUAUAUAGGUGGCUCUUGCUUCUGGAGGAAAGCAUUACACAGGAAUAGUGAGGGAAGCUCAAUUGAAACUCGGCCUCCCUAACAUAAUUACUGUUGAUGCUCAAUGGUUGCCUCUUCAAAAAGACAAUUUGCACCUUACCACUCCUUCCCAAGUCCGCCUAGGGGGAAUGCUUGCUGCUGCCUUUCUUCGAACCCUCGAAAUCAACUAACCAAAAUUCAUUGAAAUAUUUCAAUUGUCUCCUCAACUUGUAUAUAAUAAAAAGAUUUAAGAUAUUAAAAUUUCUUGCGAGCUCAUAAAUACUACUUUCAAUGGAUGGUCGGCAACUUUAACAUGCAAAUGUAACGCUUGGAUAUAACAAAGUUAUAGCAACAUUAAUUUCGAGUAUAUGGAGAAUAAGAUUGGGGAGAGAACUUCUCCCUGUAUGGUUAGCUUUCUGUAUUCAGUUUUCCAGUAACGGAAGUGUUUAAAAAGUAUUACUACUACAGGGUAUAUACUUUUCUAAAACAGGUACGUCACUACCGGAAAAUGUGUCGAUGGCAACGCAUGGAUGACCGUUGCAAUAGAUAGGUAAACCGUUUCCAUAGAGCUAUUGCAACGGUUCAGUGCCCGUUCCACCAGCUCGCGUGCCAAUAGAGUUUAAGGAACUGUUCUUGAACGGUUCAUAUAACCGUUGUUAUAAUAUGGUCUAUCGCAACAGUUUUUCCUCUCACCUAUUGGAACAACUAUUCGUAUCAACUACAACGGUUAAAAUAUGUUACAAUAACAUUUAAUGCAAUGGUUGAUAAUCGUUACCAUAGCGUGUACUGCAACAAUUAUGUAAGAUAUUGUUACGGCUAUUCAUGGAAAUUGCAAUGAUUUCUUUAAGUUAUUGCAACGGUUGAACUACCUACCGCAACGGUUUAUAGAUCAUUUUGGAACGGUUUACAGGUCCUGUUGCAACGAUUUAUAUUUUUUAUUGGAACGCCAUAUGAUUCCUAUUGCAAUGGUUCUGGUGGGCUAUUGUAACAGUUUAAUUUAAAUAAACAUAUUGCCCCUGUUGCAAAUAAAUAUUUACAUAUAGAAUAAAUUAUAAAACACAAAAACUUAUAUAAAAAACAAGUUUCCAGUCCUACUUCCUCUCUCUAAAAAGUUUCUCUCUACAACGUCUAUUUUAGCACCCAUGUUCUAACGAGUACGGAUCAUGCUCUACAAGAUGGAGCCGCCGGAAGGCAUCCCUUCGGCGCGUACGGUUGUUCUAUCGCCCACAUCAGGCGAAAUAGUUCCCAGAGAAGUCACAAAACAAGGAAAUAUAUCCUAUGCUAACACCAUCAGCGCCCCAUCUUCAUCUUCUCAGAUCCCCAAUCCAAGCUCAAACCAACAAGAAAAAGAAAAAGUUAUUGCAAGAUACACGACUCACAACGACAUGCCGGUGGUGAUUUUCAAAGCUAAGGACUACUAUGACAUAAUGGCAGAUUCUUGUAAGUGUACAAUUGUGGGUAGAUUUCUUAGACCACGCCCCCAAAUUGAUCGAAUUAGAUCAAGAUUUAGGAAAAUUAUUCCCUUAAAAGGGACGGUCAGAAUAGGGGUGUAUGAUAAUCAUAAUGUCUUCAUUGAUCUCUUUAAUGAAGACGACUAGAAAUCAGUAUGGUUCAGAUGAGUAAUUGAAAUUGAUGGAAUGCAAAUGUGGUUACAAAAGUAGUCACCGGACUUCAAGACAGAGGAGGAUUUACCAAUCACUCCAGCCUGGGUUCUGCCGCCCUCCUUACCUUUUCAUAUGCACGAUUGGCAUUACAUUGAGCAGCUUUUGAGCUCUGUUGGUACUCCACUUACCCUAGAUGCUGCUACAAUGGGAAGAACAAGGCCAAGUAUGGCCAAAAUUAGAGUGGAGGUCGACUUGCUAAAGUUGUUACCACAGAGUGUAUUUGUGGGACAGGAAUAUGACGAGUCGUCGCUAAAAGGUUAUACCCCAAAAAUUAGAAUAUGAAGGCAUUCUGAAGUAUUGUAAAAAUUGUCGGAAAUUAGGUCACUACAUAGUCAAUUGUAGGGCUCUAGAAAAGAAAAAGACUAAUCAAGAGAAGGAGGAGAGUGAAGGUGAUGAGAUUACCAAAAAUGAGGAAGAUGCACAAUCGAUGAACAAAAUGAUAGGAAACAACAAUAAAGGCAGGGAGGAAACAAUUCAAGCUGAUUCACACAGUGUCGAUAUUUGUAAAAUGCAAUAGGAAGAUUGCCUAGACAAUAAUAAGAUCAUUAACAACAAAGAGGAGAAAAUCAUGAAGAAGAGGACUAAAAAGAAGAAAGCCAAAAAGAUGCCAAAGAAGAAAAGCAAAGUUAAGUUCAAACAUGCCCAGAAUAAUAGCAAGAAGAGCACUGUCUCUAGAUCAACAAGCAAACAAAACGAUCAAUCAUUAGCAGAAAUUAAGGACAAUAUACAGAUUCAUGAAGAUCAAAAAGCUUUAGAUGUACAGGAUGAGGGGAAACAUAAUAGUUCUACUGGAAAUGGUAGAAUAGAAGGGCUAGAGAAGGAGAAAGCUCCUAAUAUACAAAUGGAGGAGGGAAACCAAUCUUCACAAGAUAAGGAGACUAACAGGAAGGAAGAAAGUAAGGCAGAGAAGAAUAACAAGCACGCUCACUCUAACUCAAACACCUCUACUGUCCCAACAGAAAUAAGAAAUUUAUCAGGUAUAAAUUUAGUUGUCGACUUGGAUGGCAAAGAAUGGGAGUAUGAGGUAAAUGAAAGUAGUAUUAACAGAUUCGACAAGAACGCCAAAAGAAGCAGUGACACUGAGAAUGAAGACAUAGAUGAGGUUACGGAAAGUUAGAGAGAUGAUAAUCUAUACACUAGUACAAGAGGGAGAAGUGAAACACGAAAAAGUAGCAAAAGUCAAAGAAACAGAACCUAUCCUUCACAUAAAAGGAAACAAAAAGAGGAUAACAUCCCAAAGUGUUUUUAUGAUUAGUGCAAUCUUCUGGAACAUAAGGGGAGUGAGAUCCAAAAAAGCCAUUCACAGUCUUAAAAGACUUACUGACAUCAACAACACUCAUUUCGUGGCUAUCUUUGAACCUUUUAUUUCAAAAGAAAAGAUAGAUGGUUACAUGAGAUUCUUAGGAUUUCAACACUGUCACUCGAAUGGUAACGGAAAAAUUUGGUAUUUUUGGAACUCUUUCAACAAUAAAAAGUUCUUCUCAGAAAGUGAUCAACACAUAACUAUCAAGUUGGACAAGGCCAUUAUCAAUCAAUAUAUUCUUAUUACGACUGUUUACGCUAAGUGUAAUUCUAUAGAAAGAAGAGAUCUUUGGUCCUCUUUCCAACAGGAUAGUACUAUGUUGAAUGAUCUUUGGUGUAUCGGGGGUGAUUUUAAUAUGAUCCUUGAUCCAAACGAAAAAUUAGGGGGUAAACCUCAUAGAAUGUACAAAAGCAUCGAUUUUCAGAAUUGCAUGGAUAUUUGUGGUAUUACAGAUAUUGGCUACUCUGGGACAAAGUUAACCUGGUGCAACAACAGGAGACCCAAGAAGAGGAUUUGGAAGAGAUUGGAUAGAGUAUUUGUGAACGAUCUGUGGGACAAUCUGUUCCAAAGAUGCUCUAUUAGGCAUAUGGCAAGAACCAGAUCUGAUCAUAGACCUUUUCUCAUAAUGAAUUUAUCUACUAAUCACAAUUGCACUAGAUACUUCAGAUUCCUCAACUAUUGGAUCAAUCUGCCAGGCUUUUAUACUAUUGUUGAGGAUAGUUGGAAUUCUAAUGUUAAGUGUAAUCACAUGUGGAUCUUGCAAACAAAAUUGAAGGCUCUCAGUAAAGAUUAACCCAAUGGUCCAGGGAAGACAUAGGUGACAUAAAUGAUGUUGUUACCAACUGGGAGGAGAAACUACAAUUCCUAGAGGAUAAGGACAUUGAGGAAAAUACUAAAUUGAGCAGAGAAGAAGUAAAUAGGACCCAUGCUGAAUAUAUUAGAUAGCUUAGUAUUCAAGAAUCCCUCCUUAAGCAGAAGUCUAGAAUAAAAUGGUUUGAAGAUGGUGACAGGAAUACCAGGUAUUUUCACUUCAUUCUCGGGGAAAAAAGGAGGAAGCAACAGGUAAACAGAAUCAAAAAUCACAAGGGUAAUUGGAUUAUGGGGGAUGAGAGAAUUUCUAAAGCAGCAGUCAGACACUUCAAGGCACAAUUCAAUUUACCUAAGCCAAACCUCAACCCCUCAAUUUUUGAAUGUAUUCCAAAAUGUAUCACGGAGCAGGAUAACUCAAAUCUCAAUCAGAUGCCUGAUGAAGAGGAAAUUAAAAAUGUUGUUAUGAGCCUUAGUGCUGAUAGCACUGUUGAUACCCAAUUUUUUCCUAUAUAUUUUUUAUAUGCAUAAAUACUUUCAAAAUAGCAUAUAUAUAUAUAUANNNNNNNNNNNNNNNNNNNNNNNNNNNNNNNNNNNNNNNNNNNNNNNNNNNNNNNNNNNNNNNNNNNNNNNNNNNNNNNNNNNNNNNNNNNNNNNNNNNNNNNNNNNNNNNNNNNNNNNNNNNNNNNNNNNNNNNNNNNNNNNNNNNNNNNNNNNNNNNNNNNNNNNNNNNNNNNNNNNNNNNNNNNNNNNNNNNNNNNNNNNNNNNNNNNNNNNNNNNNNNNNNNNNNNNNNNNNNNNNNNNNNNNNNNNNNNNNNNNNNNNNNNNNNNNNNNNNNNNNNNNNNNNNNNNNNNNNNNNNNNNNNNNNNNNNNNNNNNNNNNNNNNNNNNNNNNNNNNNNNNNNNNNNNNNNNNNNNNNNNNNNNNNNNNNNNNNNNNNNNNNNNNNNUUAAAACUAAUUUACAUAUAAUUGCAUUAUUAGCCCUAUUAAGGUAUAAUUACAUUUAUAUGCAUAAAAUUGAUCUUAUAUAUUCUUAAAAUAUUAAAUAUUUUUUUUAAAUCAUUUUAGUACACGAUUUUUUUUAAACCAUUUAUUAUUUAUUAUAAAUUAUAUAGGGUUAAAUUGGCUAUUUAAAACUUAGCCAAAUUGGAUUUCAAUUAUAACCUCAAUUAAACCCAAUACCCAGCUCAAUUUCAAGCAAAAUUACCUGACCCAAGCCCUAAAUACAAUUACUCGACCCAAAACCCAUCAGAUCCUGGUCGUUGAUCUAAAAGAUCAAUGGCCCUCAUUUAUUCCUUCCCUUUUUAACUCUGAACGACCCCUAACCCUAAUCAUUUUCCACAUACUGCCGCCCUAAAAUCCUCUCUACUCUCAGUACACUCUCAACCUAACUCUAGCCCUUCAAUCGCCGACCUCCCAUCUCGGUCAUCUCCGGUGACCUCUCAUCGUCUCCUACGCCUCCAAUGGCUUCUCUCAUGCCAUGCUUGCCUUCUCUAAGGUCUUCAAGGGCCUAGGGCCAUGCCGACUUGCAUCUAGGGUUCGUCGCCUAUCUAUUCUUGGCUACUCCAGUGUGAUUUCAAGCAAAAUCAUGUUGUAUUUGCAACGAUCCUUAAGUUUUCUAAGCAGGCUCUUCAUCCCUAUAAGGGUUUCUUUCGAAACCCUAAUUUCUUUUCUACGCCUCCUAGGACGAUUUGAGUUUGUUUCUUUAAUAUUUUACAACUGUCCUUGAGAUUCUUUACAAGAAUCGUUGAUUUUAUGUGUUUUUCACCUCCUUCUAAAAUUAGGGUUUUUAGAACUUCUUUUUUAAAACCUUGUUUAACUGAUUCUUUAUGUAAAACUUCUAUUUCUUGCAUUAUUUUAACUGAUUCUAUGAUUUUACUACAUCUUCAACUUGUCUCUGUUGAAAGCCCUAAUUUUCUAGGUUUUUUCGUUUGGUUCUGUGUAUCAGCAUGACUGACCGGUUCUUGUUUGAGUUUCUGCGAUUAUCUUGCCUCGAAUAUGUUUCUACUAAGUUUCUUAGCCUAACUUACAUCAAUUCUAUGUGUUUGCGUUCAUCUUGACUGUUCAAGACUUGCCUCUUUCUAUCAUUGAUGUUUAACCUUCAUGUUUGCUAGAGCUACGUAUCGACCUCUGGUUAUUCUUAUCUUACUCUAUUUAUAUGCUAAAACAUUGACUCAUGACUCUCUCUCUCUGAUUGAUUCUGAGUUCCAUGUUUCUUGGCUUGAUUUGAAAACUUUCCUUUAGACCUUCGAUUUUUCCUGUUUAAACUUGGCUUAUUUACUUAUUUACUUAUUUAUGGGAACCUAUGUUAUUCUCCUUAAAUUAGUGUUAUUUCAAGUCCUUGAUUCACCGAUUUGCUAUAUGCUAAUUCUCGAUUAUGUCCAUAUUCUGCAACCUUAUUUAGUUUUCUUACCUUAUUUGGGUUAACCGUGUUAUUUGCUGAUUCUUCACUAACUGUUUCCUUAAUUGAACCCUUGUAUAUUUACCCCUAAUUGUCUAUUUUCUAACUAAUGCCUUACUUGAUUUCUUUCUUUAAACAUUUUCUGCCCAUUACCGUUGGUUAAUUAUCCCUUAAUUAAGGGAGUACUUGCAUUGAUUUGAUUCUGAUUAGUACUUGGUUCCAUAAUUAUUGCUGAGCUUUGAUUCUUGCCUUAUUUUCUGCCUAUUUUAAAACUAUAAAUACCCUACUCUUUCACUAACACAACAAACGAACACAUUGGUUCAAAAACUCUCUUUCACACUAUCACGACCCUAAACUCGGACCCGGUCGUGAUGGCGCCUCUCGUGAAGACAAGGCUAGCCGACACUUGCCCAUUUCAGUUUUAAGCAGUUAAAAAUGAGAAUUAAGUCUAAAACAUGAUAAAUGACCCAACAUUUAAGUAGUCAACAGUACAAUAUGCGAAAGAACAACCCAACAUAGCCCGAUACCGGGGUGUCACUAGUCAUGAGCAUCUAAAAAUCCAGAAUAAGACAAUAAAGUCUACAGAUUUCAAUACAAAUCCAAAACAAAGAGAAGUAAGACAAGGGAAGAAGCUUUGGGCUGCGAAUGCCGGCAGCUACCUAGAGAAUCUUCGGAUUUGCCUAAGCUGGAAAGAUCAACACUCGGGAGCGGGACCAGAUGUGCCUGAAUCUGCACACAGGAUGCAGAAAGUAAAGUGAAUACUCCAACUCAGUGAGUAAUAGUCAUAAAUAAACUACUGAGAGCAUGAAAUCACGUAAGGCACAUUAUAGGCUAUAAUGAAGCAGUAAAACAUGUAAGACCAGUGAUUCAGUAAAGAUAUUUAAAAUCAUAUAAGUUCAGUUUAAACUUCAAGAAUUCCUAUUCAACAAUUAAACAUUUAAAUGACAGACAAAUAAGACAGAUAAGCACAUAAAGGAUUGCCCCUCGGGCUAAAAUGUUAACAAUACCAGCCCCUCGGGCUAUCUCUCGCAUCACAAUGGGUACCCCCGCUCGUUAGGGGUGUGCGGACUCGUGGAGGGGCCCCUUACGGCCCAAGCGCAAUAUCAAGCCAUCUCGUGGCAUCAUCACUAGGCUCUCGACCUCAUAUCAACAAGCCAUCUCAUGGCUUAUACAUCUCAGGCCUUCAGCCUCAUAAUCAUAGUCAAUAUUUCCUCACAACAUAGGCCCUCGGCCUUACUACGUAAAAAUCCUCACAAGCCACUCGGUAAUAUUAAAACAUGACUCUCAUCCCAAAAUAUCAUUUGAAUAUCAUUUAAGUGUUAAAUAGAGUAAAACAUGGUUGAGUUGUGAAAACGGUGAAAUCUAGCAUGACUGAGUUCAAGUAUAAAGAUAAAACAGUGAGGAAAUACAAUUAAAAAUCCCCUAAGGGUUCAAAUAGUUGGCACGAGGCCCACAUAUGGCAUUCCGCCCAAAACAUGACGAUAGCAAAUAGAUUUUAGUCAAAUAAGCGGUAAAAUAGACACUCGGGACAGACUAAGUCACAAUCCCUAAUAGUGCACAACCCCACACUCGUCAUCAAGCGUGUGUGUCACCUCAAUAUAGCACAACGAUAUGCAAUCUGGGGUUUCAUACCCUCAGGACAUCAUUUACAAUCAUUACUCACCUCAAUCCAGUCAAAUCUCUAGCCCGCGAUGCCUUUGCCCCUCGAAUUGGCCUCCACUCGUGUUGAAUCUAUCCAAAAUCAGAAUCACGGCAUCAGAAUAUGCUAAGGGAACAAAUCACAAGCGAAAAUAUUCAAUUUACAGCACAAAUCCAGAAAUUACCAAAACCGACCCCCGGGCCCACGUCUCGGAUUCCGAUAAAAUUCACAUCAAUGGAUUCCUUAUCACUCUCCAAGUUCAUACGUACCAAAAGCAUCAAAAUCCAACCACAAAUUACCCCUCAAAUCCGAAAUUCUAGGUCUCCAACUUCAAGCCCUAGUUCUUCAAUUUUAGGCUUAAUUCCCAUAAUUAAUUAGGUAGAUUUCACAUUAGAUGCGAGUAUUAAGUCCAUGAAUCUUACCUCCAAGUGAUUCCCCUUGAAUCCCUCUUCAAAAAACUCCAAAAACGCUCAACAAUGGUGAAAAUAAACCCCAAAUCGCGGACAAGAUGACUAUUUAAACAUUCUGCCCAUGCCUGAAAUCCUUCUUUGCGAACGUGGUCAAUGCCUCGCGUUCACGAAGCACAAACCAACUUUGACCAAAAAUUACUCUUCGCGAUCAGAACCUUCCCGUCGCGAACGAGAUGCUUUCCUCAGAACACUCUUUGCGAUCGCGUUACCCUUCUCGCAAACGCAAUGAAUAAAAUACCUCAAGCCCAACUGACCACUUUUCUCUAUGUGAAUGUGGUCCCCUUCACGCGAACGCGAUGACCAAACACCCAGCCCUUCGCGAACGCGAAGGCUUAAAUCCCAGCCUUCAUCAGCUUACCCUUCGCGAACGCGAGGACCCACUCGCGAACGCGAAGGUCAUUUCUCUAUAACACUGAUCUGAAAUUUUCUACAAUUCCAAACAUCAUGAAAUGGUCUGAUUUACCGCCCGAAACUCACCCGAGGCACCCGGGACCUCAACCAAACAUACCAACAUAUCCCAUAACCUUAUUCAAACUUGUACCAAUCUUCAAAACACCUCAAACAACAUCAAAUCAACCAAAACACAUCGGAUUCAAGCCUAAGUUUCCAAAAUCUUUCGAAUUUCGCUUUUGAUCAAAAACCCAACCAAACCACGUCCGAAUGACCUGAAAUUUUUCACACAUAUCCCAAAUGACACAACAAUACUACUACAACUCUCGAAAUUCCAUUCUGACCCCUAUAUCAAAAUCUCUCCUAUCAACCGGAAAAUGCCAAAAAUCCAAUUUCGCCAAUUCAAACCUAAAUCUACUCCGGUCCUCCAAAACACAUUUCGAUCAUGCUCCUAAGUUCAAAUCACCUCCCGAAGCUAUCCGAAUAAUUAAAACUCACAUCCAAUCCCUCUAACACAUAAGUCAACAUCCGGUUGACCUUUCCAUUUUAAGCUUCCUCAAAGGAAACUAAGUGUCUCAAACCUUACCAAAUACUUUCUGAACCCGAACCAACCAACCCGAUCACUCACAGAACUGAUAGACAAAGCAUUAAGAAGCAGAAAUGGAAAAAACGGAGCGAUAACUCAUGAGACGACUGGCUGGGUCGUGACACACACUCAAAAUUGUUCUACUCUCUCUCUCUCUUUGGUUACUUGCUAUUAUCUUGAGUUAGCCGGCUACAAGCCAAGGCUAACUAUUGUGCUUUCCUGUUCCUCUCUUUGUGUUUACUAUCUCUCUACUAGUAUGUUCUGAUUUCAAUUCAAGUCCCAAAACCAAUAUCAUUCUUUUACUACUUCAGUUUAUCAUGUUUCUAAUUUGUUUCUAUCUAUGGUGUUGUUGUUCAACAUGCAAUUUUCAUUUUUACAUUACUGCUUCAUUUAGCAUGCUAGUCUACCCCUCUUAGGGACAUUCAGAACAUGUUCUACCCCCUCCCCUAGUAGUCUGACUCAAUAAAACUUUUUCAAACUAUGUCAAGCACUCUCACUCUACUCCUAAGUCUCUAGGUUCUGCUCCAUCCAGUGUUUGUACUGCCUUGGCAUCCUUCUGAGAUCCCUAUGAACUCUGGCACACUGAGGUUGGCCCUUCCACACUACACUUACUCAAUUUGGUUUCAAAGUCUAGGUGUGAGCACUGCCCGGGAUCCUUGAAAUCCUUAGGGAACUCUGACGCACCUAGACAAUGACAUUGUCUACAAAAUUGGCAUUUGAGGCUAUUGGAGGUUUGGGAAAUCACUUGGGCCUGCUUCAGGCUCCCUAUAAUGUAACUUCUUCUUUUUCUUUAUUUAUGUAAUUCAUUCAUCUGGUUUGUAAUAAUUUGUAAACGAAUAUUGGGGUGAUUAGUGAAAAGGGGUGGGUAGUUAUUUAUUUGUUGGGUAAUAUGGGUAGAAACCAUGCCUAUAGGAUUAUAUAUAUAUUUGCUAUGUCUGACCUACCAUAAUAGAAAUCAUGCCUAUAGGAUCAUUUAAUAUAAUUUUUAUGCUUGCCUCACCAUGCUAGAAAUCAUGCCUAUAGGGUUAAAUGGUCCCAACAUGUCUAUAGGCUUUAUAAUCAAGUAGAUACCCUACUUAAGCAUGUGAUCAAGUUCAAUUUUAUGUUAUAGUGGGUAAUUACGUUUGUUUCCAUUAAAUAUCAUGCAAGUUUCUAAUAUCAGCUCUUAACAACUAGAUAUCAUGCUUAUUAGGAACAAUAUCAGAAAUUCUGCCUAUAGACCCAAAAUUAGUUUAGUUUAAAUAAGUUAGUCCAAUUCAUGUUAGUUUACUUCGAAACUGGCCUAAUCAGUGGUUUAUUUUCCUUAAAUGAUUUCUUUGAAGUACUGCCCUAAUUUACUAUUAGAAAGCAUGUGUAUAGGAAUUCAAGGGUCCGUUUUAAAAUCUGCCUACUGUUUUACUAGAUCAAACGUAGUUAUCAUGCUCUUAGGAUAUCACUAUUCAUCGUUUAGGCAAGCCUAUGGGGUAUUUUCAAAUCCUGCAACUCUGAAACUGCAUUUCUGCUACUUAAAGUUGUUCAGAUUAAAAAAAUUUAGUCAGUAGGCAAGUUAAAUAGGAUCAUUCACAUAUUGGCCUAAUUCAGUACUUUAUAACCUCUACUUACUUAGAUAUUAUGUUCUAGGAUUUGUUUUCUUAAGUGUUGAAUGUUGUUUGAAGACGUGCACUUAUGUGAUAUGCUUGAGGAGGUAACUGUGAGCCUUUAACUUGCUUUAUAUGCAGUCCUAAAUUGUUCUUGCCUGUCUCCUAGAAGUUUCUCUUUUUAAGCACCUUAGGGGUUGUCUAGAACUACCCAGAUUUAGAGGUCCUAAAAUACCCCCAGGGCAACAAGAAAGGGACAGGUAUUGCAAACAUAGGCAUUAUCAAGGUUACUAGAAUGCUUUAGGCUAUGACCAAGGGGUGGGAAGGGUAGAUAUGAGAUAUGAUAACUACGCGCUAAUGUCACGUGUAUCCCCUCAUUGAGGAGUGUUUAUCGGGUAUUGCAUGGGGUGAUCCUAAUGGCUAACCAACCUAGGACCCCUCCUUUCAAAAAUCCUUUUGCUUUACUUUUCCUAUGUGUACACAAUCUUUGUCUCAUCACUUGAAUUAUACAUCGUCCAACGUGCUUUACUUACAAUUAUUUGUUUCAACUACUUAUUUGUCAAGGGACUAAUUCAUAAAUAUAAGUUCAGCCAGGACCCACAAUUGUGAACCAAGAGGGGUGCCUAACAUCUUCCCCUCGUGGUUAUUUCGAGCCCUUACCCUAAAUCUCUGGUAAUGCAAACCAAUCCAGGAGCUAAUCGCUCUAGGUGCCCUAAUGCACCAUAAUCCGUCAGGUGUAGACUCUUCAAAAUACCCAAUUAUCAAAAUAAAAUAAGUUAUUACCCCCUCUAUAAAUGUCUAAACCCGAACCUUUUCUUCCCCGUUAAAAAGGGAGGGAGAAAAAGGGGGCGGGACAGCAUGGAGACUCUGCUGGGGAUACCUUUUAGGCUCUUACCAUAACGAACUUAUUUUAUGAAUUAGUCCAAGUAUGCUUUAUCUCGUACCCUUCUCCCUUAUUUGAAUUUAACCGCCCAUUUUAUUUUAAGCAUUUAUGAUUCUUUAUCCCUGAAACUGACUUGUCUCUUUGUUUUCUUUUUCCUGUAUCUGUCUUUCAAUUAUUUAAAUAUUGUAUUUAUUUUUCCUACGUGCAAAUACUUGACUACAUGUUAUUAAUUGCUGCAUAAAUCAUGCUCCACAUCAUAUUCCACUCAUGCAUAUCAAAUCAUAUAGCAACGCUUUAAUGAGUGGUUGCGCUCUUCCUAUUUACAACCCUUAAAUUCGGAAAGACUUAUUUGCGGUAAAACCAGUCGAUCAACGGUGCAGUCGACGGUUCCCUGCCUUCCCCCUCAAGUUGUCUACUUGAGGGUACUAGUGUAAAACCUCAUAGUAGCCUUACUCUGGUUAAAAUUGUGCAUGCAUCAUGGUCAAACCUAGUCGGAUCAAUAUGCUAUCCACGUAAUGAUCCUUUAAGAUAAGCCUUAUCCAAAAGUCCAUCGGGUUUUCCAUAAUCCCAACGGACACAACCAUGUUCUGUGCAUUAAUUUGGAGAACUAAAUGACGAUAUGUUAAUCAUAAAUGUAUAAAUAGUCGAGUCUGGUGGGGGUAAGGCCUAAACCUUUUUGUUUUGCAGAAAAUGAGGCACGAGGUCCCCAGAUUCGGUAUAAUUAGCAACAUCCCACCAUUGUUGGUAGAUUGGUGGGAGGACCUUUCCUCAAGUGACAAGAAACAUGUGAGAAAGUACCUGGUUAACCUGCCUUCCUUGCUAGAUAUUGAGCCAAACAACAAAUUGAUUGAGGCUGCCACUUUAUUCUAGGAUAGUGAAAGGGCUGUGUUUCGUUUUGGCGACAUAGAAAUGACACCACUCCUAGAUGAAAUUUGAGGGCUUGCGGGAUUGACUUGGGAUAGUCCUGGGUUAUUAGUACUAGAAAACCGUACUGGCAGGGGAUUUUUAAAGAUGAUGGGGCUGAAGAAGAAUGUCGACCUAGUGUGCUUGAAGGAAUCUUACAUACCUUUCGAAUACAUGUAUGAGAUGUAUGGCCAUAGCAAGUCUUUCUGUACCUACCAUGAUGAGAUAUCUCUCACUUCUAUGGGUCACAUUCACUGCAGAGUGUUCGUAUUCAUUGUAUGCUUCUUAGGCAUGAUAGUGUUCCUAAUGAAAAAGGGAAGAAUCCAUACUAGGUUGUCCAUGGUCGCCAAGACUUUGAUGGAAGGGAUUAAUGGACAAACAUAAGCCAUAGUCCUCAUGAUCAUAGACGACAUCUACAGGGCUCUAGAGCGCUGUCAAAGAAGGGUCAAGCAUUUCGAGUGUUGUAACUUGUUACUGCAGUUAUGGUUGUUGGAGCAUUUCCAAAAGUGUCGCUAUCACCAAGAAUUUCCGCGAAGGGCUUAGAACGACCAUAUUGCCUUCCAUCACCCCAAGUGGAUGACUUACAUUCCAGACAAAUUUCCUCAGCCAGAAAGUGCCAAAGAAUGGGUAGAGUUCUUCGACAAUCUGACCGACGAACAAGUGUAAUGGAUAUUUGAAUGGUUCCCAACAGACGAAUUCAUCAUCAGAUCCAGGGAUGCUCCGCACUUGGUACAGAUUGGGUUGAGAGAGAUAUACCCAUAUGUCCCUAUCCGAGUUAUGAGGUAAGCAGGUAGGAAACAGGUUGUACCAAGGGUUGUCAAGAUGAGUCAUUUCAGGGCUGACUUUCAAGACGACGACAUCCUUUACAAGUGCCAAGCUCAGCACAUGUGGCACUGCAAAAUCAUUGUAGAGAAGAACACUGUUGAGCCAGACAGGUAUCAUGCAGGAUGCGAGCCUCUCUACCCGGCAUGGUUAGAGGACAAUCUGAAAGGAAUGGUGACACAAGGGGCCGGUCGAGGGAACAAAAUCAUAGAUGAAGAAGCUAAAGCUCAAUUCAAAUACAACAGGCUGUGCAAAAGGGUCCACGACUUUGAGAAUGAGCACCGGGAAAUACAUGAGAGGAAUGUGAGGUUGAUCGAGGAAUGGAAAGAAAUGGAAGUCACUUUCAACAGGAAACUGAAAUAUCUGGAGUAAGGAAUAAUGGCACUAGAAGGUAAAGUCAUAAAGAGGAUUAAAAAUUGUCAGAAUGCUGAAGGAGCUGAAGGAGGACAUCUGGCUAGAGCCUACUUGCUGCUGGGGCUACGCGAGCUGGGAGAUCUAUAUGAUGGAGUCCGGAAGAUCGAAUUUGGGGAAGAUCUUUCUAGGACCAAAUAGGCUAGAUUUAUUUGCUUUUUCCUAAAAAUGUAAUAAGGCCAAGUGCCAGUAGUGACUUAUUUUAUUAUUAUCUUAGUGUCGUUUUGGGAUUCAUCUAUUUUAUAUUAUGAAAUGAAGCAUUUAUUGGCAUUUAAAGUUCUCCAAAUCUAUUUGUCGCUAAGCCUUCCUCGGGCAUAAUGAGGUUCCCAAAUUAAGACGCGCAAUAUGUAUUGAAAUACUGCAAACAUUUCAGGAUCCUCACCGACUUGUUACCUUUUUGUUUUUUCCCUUCUUCUUAUUUUUAUUAUUCUCAUCCCCUUAGGUUGGUUCACUCAUACUGGUCUCAUCAGCGUACCACACCAGAUUUAGAGGCCCUCCACCUCCUCCUCCUCCAAUCAACACAAAAGGUAGAGAAAAAGAAAAGAUGGACGACUUAAGUGGAAUCCGAAAGGAGAAUAUUGAGAAUGCAGAAACUUCAGAUGGCCGUAGUACUUCAGCCCCAAAUGAUCUAGUCUUGAGACUGGAACAAAAGAAAAACUUGAGCAGGUUCGCAACUUGGCAAACUUGUCACUCACCCUCAAUGUCCCCGAUAUCCACCAACAAAAUACAAAGAACCCAAUACCUCUUCAGAACACACAAAACCAACAGCCACAAAAUCCUACCGCACCAAAUCAAUACGUAACUCCACCCUAAAAUAUCAAUCUGCUGCCAAUAGCGACUCCGCCACAACAUCAUCAUCAACCAAUUCAGUACCCACCAACCACCACUUACCACACUCCCCAAAACAGACCACAACCCAUUCCUUAUCCCCAAAACUCCACCAAUGACCAUCAUUACAACCAAGUCCCUGGCAUCCAUCAAAGCAACCCUAUAUAUGUGGAAAUUGUACCUCACUCUACCCAACCAAUCUCAUAUACACCGGAAUCCUCCGAGAAGGACAUGCUCAUUAAAAACAUGGCUAAAGAACUCAAGAAGUAAACAACCUGAGUUCAAGGUGUUGAAGGCGACAGAGGAAUAGAAGGUUAGAACUAUGAAGAUCUGUGCAUACAGUCGGAUGUCGAACUGCCAGAGGGGUACAAACCUCUGAAGUUCGAAAUGUUCGAUGGCACAAGUGAUCCCAUGGUUCAUCUAAGGACCUAUUGUGACAAGCUUGUCGGGUUCAAGAAAGAUAAAAAGAUCCGGAUGGAGCUCUUUAUGAGGAGUCUUACUAUGGAUACUUUGUCUUGGUAUAUCAGCCAAAAAUCCCAAGAAAUGAUCGAAUUGGGUGAGCAUGGCAUCAGAUUUCAUGGACCGGUUCAGGUUCAACAGAGAAAACGCACCGGAUGUUUUCUACAUUCAAAAUCUUAAGAAGAAACCUACUGAGACUUUCCUUGAAUACGCUACUCAUUGGAGGUCGGAAGCGGCCAAUGUCAGACCCUCUUUGGACGAAGAACAGAUGGAUAAAUUCUUCGUCAGAGCACAUGAUCCAUAAUAUUACGAGAUGUUGAUGGUUAUCGAAAAUAACAAAUUCUCUGACAUCAUCAAACUUGGAGAAAGAAUCGAAGAAGGAAUCAAGAGUGGGAUGGUAAUGAACUUCGAGGCACUGCAAGCCAUGAAUAAGGCACUACAAUCAUGUGGCAUAUCAAAGAAGAGAGAUGUUGGGGCAGUAAUGGUGGUCUAGGGCCCAAAAUCUCCACUUACCUAUCAAAUACCUCCACCCACAUAUCAAAUACCUCCGCCGACAUAUCAAACACCUCCACCCAUAUAUCAAACACCUCCACCCACAUACCAAGCAUCACCGCCUACAUAUCAACCUUCAUCUCCAAGAUAUUCCCAACCAGCCACUGUCUAUCACACCUAUAACUCCCAACCAUCCCAAUUCCAAUCACCACCAGCUUGCCAAAAUUAUCCAAGACCAAGACCCAACUUCAACUGCAAGCCACCCAGAUAAUACACCACCAUUGCUGAGCCCAUCGACCAACUGUAUGAAAGGUUGAAAGCUAUAGGUUACGUCACUCCUUUUCCCACUGUGGCAUUAGAAAAUCCAUCCCAAUGGGUAAAUUCGAACAAAACUUGUGCAUACCAUUUCGGUAUUAAAGGGCACAUUACUGCUGAGUGACGAACAUUGAAGGAUAAGAUCCAGACGCUAAUUGACAACAAGGUCAUACAAGCAAAACGAGCCGCACCUAAUGUCCGCAAUAAUCCCCUCCCUGAUUAUAGAGGUGAUGAUGUACAUGUGAUAGAGAUAAAUGAAGAAUGGGACCUUGAGGGGUCGAUUGGGCUUAUUCGAGAAGGCGAUGACUUUAAGGUUGCAGUCACACUUAUUCCUAUUGUGGUUCAUACUCAGGAACCAAUUGAGUUUGAGGUAACUGCAUUAGUUCCAUUCGAGGUGGAAGUGGCUCCACCCGCAGCCACCCCCGCUCCAUUUGAAGUAGAAGUGGUCACACCUUUCACUGUGACAGUAUCAACCACACCCCCAUUCAACUCAAAAGUAAUACCCUGGGAUUAUGUUGCCUAGGCUCGGCGGAAAGGGAAGGCCAAGGUAGAGGAAUUUGACGCUGCACAAGGAAUGACUAGAACCGGAAGAGUCUAUACACCUAAACACCUAGGAGGUUCAAGUAAGGAGGCCACCACUAGGCAGCCUAUCAUUGAGAUCGGGCCAGAUGACCUAUAGAGGAAAGUACAGGCAAAGGAGUACUCUGUUGUUGACCAUCUAAACAAAGUCCCUGCUCAGAUAUCUAUCCUAUCACUAUUGCUGAAUUUAGAGGCACACAAGAGCGCCUUAAUGAAAGUGUUGAGCGAGGCUUAUGUACCCAAUAAUAUCACUGAUGGAGAAAUGGCCAACAUGGUUGGUCAAGUACUAUAAAGUCAUAAAAUUGUCUUCCAUGAAGAUGAGCUGCCACCCGAGGGACUGAAUCAAAAUCGAGCAUUGCAUAUUACGGUGCAAUUUGAAGACAAGUUCAUUGCCAAGGUCUUGGUUGAUGGAGGUUCAAGGCUAAAUAUUUGUCCAUUGGACACUUUGAAAAGGUUGGACAAGGGUUUCUAUGAGAUACGGGUAGGAAGCAAGAAUGUGAAGGCUUUUGAUAAGUCCUAGAGGGCCACGAUCGGGGAAAUCCACCUUUGCUUGCAGAUGAGGCAAACUUGGUUCGACGUUGAAUUUCAGGUGCUUGACAUACCAGCCUUAUAUAAUCUUCUGUUGGGCCGGCCAUGGAUCCAUGCUGCUGGAGCUGUGCCUUCAACACUACAUCAGGCCAUGAAGUUUGAAUGGAACUCCCAGGAGGUAAUCAUUCAUGGAGAUGGAAGUAACCCCAUCUACACUAGUCAAACCAUCCCGAUUAUUGGACAUAGAAGAAGGAUAGGAGGGGAAACCUAUCAUCACAUUGAAUGGGUCAAUGCCAUCAAGAAGGAUAGGUGGUGGAGUAACAAAAUAUAAAUCAUACUAGCAUGGUCUGAAUAUGAACCCGACAAAGGGUUGGGAAAGAACCUCCAAGGUAUCACCAAACUAGUACAACAAAAAUCAUGGUACCACCUUUGGGCUCGGAUACCAGUAUACAUGGAAAGAGUACAAUGAUUGGUCGCCUCCAUGGCGUAGACCGUAUUACCCUCUUGAGCAGCCAGUGCUAAGUUUGGAACAAGCUUUUCACUAGGCUAACACAAUAUGGGGGACUACAGAAGAAGAAACACUAGUUGGGUUGGAGAAUUUGUUCUUGGAGGAUGAGGACAUGGACUGCGGUGCCAUAAUUGAGGAGGAGGAGGAAGAAGGCCUCACAUUUCAGACUGUAGAGAAGGGAGAUAUUCUCAAGAAUUGGACCACUACACCAUCCCGAGCUCGCUGAGUCCCUAGGUAGCUUGGCAGAUUUUACUUCUAUAUCCAUUCUAGGCAUUUAAGAUUUCCCGUAUUUUUGUUUUAAGAUUUACUUGUUUCAAAAUAAAUGCUCGAUUCAUUGAGCCGUGCUUUGUCUGGAAAAUUUUUUCAAAGGUUUAAUCAAAUGCAUUUGCUCUUUAUUAUUCACUACUAUCUUUAUAAAUUUCCUUUCUACAUCAAUAUUAUUACUUUUCCUGAUGAACCAGUGACUGUGGCAUGUAAUGAGGCAACGCAAUAUGAGAAUAGUGAUUUACAGGAAGAAGAUGAGAUACCCGAGGAAAUUUUCAGGGAGGUUAAAAAUUUUGAGAAUAAGCCUAAGUCCAAUCUGGACGAGACCGAAGCAGUAAAUUUGGGAGAUGCCGAGACCGUUAAGGAGUCUUGCAUCAGCUUUCACUUGUCACCAACAAAGAAGAAAGAGUACGUUCAUUUCCUAAAAUAGUAUGAGGACAUUUUCGCAUGGUCAGAUGAUGACAUGACCAGUUCGAGCACAUCCAUAGUAGCUCACAAGUUGCCUAUUAAUCCCAUGUGUCCGCCAGUAAAACAAAAACUCAGAAAGUUCAAACCAGACAUGAGCCUGAAAAUCAAGGAGGAAGUUACCAAGCAGAUCAAAGCCAAAGUUCUCAGGGUGGUUGAAUAUCUAACCUGGUUAGCUAACAUUGUGCUAGUUCCGAAGAAGGACGGGAAGGUCAAAAUAUGUGUUGACUAUCGGGAUUUAAAUAGAGCAAGUCCCAAGGAUGACUUCCCGCUGCCAAAUAUACACAUCCUGAUUGAUAACUGCGCUAAACAUGAACUCCAAUCCUUUGUAGAUUGCUUCACGGGUUAUCACCAGAUUUGGAUGGAUGAAGAAGAUGCAGAGAAUACAGCUUUCAUCACACCGUGGGCUGUAUACUGUUACAAGAUGAUGCCAUUCGCUUUGAAGAAUGCUGGGGCCACUUACAUGAGAGCCAUGACAACCAUCUUCCAAGAUAUGAUACACAAAGAAAUAGAGGUGUAUGUGGAAGAUGUCAUUAUCAAAUCCAAGAAGGCCACAUAUCACAUAGCGGAUCUGAGAAAGUUCUUUGAUAGGCUAAGGAGGUACAAUUUGAAAUUGAACCCCGCAAAGUGUGCGUUCGGGGUUCCCGCAGGAAAGUUACUGGGAUUCAUCAUCAGUCGUCGAAGGAUCGAGUUGGAUCCAUCUAAAGUCAAAGCUAUUCAGUCGUUACCACCACCUAAAAGAAAAAAGGAUGUGAUGAGCUUCCUAGGAUGUCUCAACUAUAUUAGUCGCUUCAUAGCACAAUCCACAGUCAUAUGUGAACCCACCUUCAAGAUGCUGAGGAAGGAUGCCGAAACAAGAUGGACAGAGGAUUGUCAAAAAGCUUUUGAUAAGAUUAGGGAGUACAUGUCCAUACCACCGGUUCUGGUCCCGCCAGAACUAGGAUGAGUUUUGCUACUUUAUCUAUCUGUGUUGGAUGGAGCCUUCGGAUGUGUUUUGGGACAACAUGACGAGACGGGAAGGAAAGAGCAAGCCAUAUAUUACUUGAGUAAGAAGUUCACACCUUAUGAAGCAUGGUAUUCUCUGCUUGAACGCACUUGCUGUGCUUUGACCUGGAUAGCUUAGAAAUUGAGGCACUACUUCUGCGCCUACACUACAUAUCUCAUAUCCAGGAUGGACCCUCUAAAGUAUAUAUUCCAGAAACCCAUGCCGACUGGGAAGUUGGCUAAGUGGCAGAUACUACUAAGUAAGUUUAAUAUCGUCUACGUAACUCAAAGGGCGGUCAAAGGGCAAGCAUUGGCAGAUCACCUUGAUAAAAAUCCGGUGGGAGGAGCAUACGAGACUCUGAAAACAUAUUUUCCUGAUGAAGAAGUGUCAUUCGUAGGGGAAGACAUUAUUGAAGUAUAUGAUGGUUGGAGGAUGUUCUUUGAUGGAGCUGCAAAUUUCAAAGGAGUAGGCAUUGGAGCAGUUUUGGUAUCAGAAAUGGGUCAACAUUAUCCGGUAUCUGCUAAACUCAGAUUUUCCUGUACCAACAUCAUGGCAGAGUAUGAAGCCUGCAUACUAGGACUCAACAUGGUAGUCAACAUGAACAUUCAGGAGUUGUUGGUGAUCGGUGAUUCAGAUCUUUUGAUGCACUAGGUGCAAGGAGAGUGGGCCACCAAGAAUUCAAAGAUAUUGCCAUAUAUGCACCAUGUGCGGGAAUUGAGAAAGAGGUUUACGAAGAUAGAAUUUCGGCAUGUACCCAGAAUUCAAAAUGAGUUUGCUGACGCAUUGGCUACCUUGCCAUCUAUGAUACAACAUCCAGAUAAGAAUUACAUUCAUCCCAUUCUAGUGAAGAUCCAUAAUCAGCUGGCAUAUUGUGCUCAUGUCGAGGAAGAAGCAGAUGGAAAGCCUUGGUUCCAUGACAUUAAAAAGUACUAAUCAAAAGGAUAACACCCAGAGCAUGCAAAUCAUACUCAGAAAUGCACACUCCGGAGAUUGUCAAAUCACUUCUUCCACACCGGAGGAAACUUGUACAAGAGAACUCCUUAUUUGGGUUUCCUAAGGUUUGUCGAAGCAAAGGAAGUUUCUGAGCUACUUGAAGAUGUGCAUGUCAGGACAUGUGGCCCUCACAUGAAUGGUUUCGUCUUGGCUAAGAAGAUAUUCAGGGCCGGUUACUUUUGGAUGACCAUAGAGACAGAUUGCAUCAAGUAUGUCCGCAAAUACUUUCAAAGUCAAGUGCAUGCCAAUAUGAUAAAAGUUCCUCCAAACGAGCUCAAUGCAACAAGCUCACCUUGGUCAUUUGCUGCUUGGGGAAUGGAUGUUAAUGGUCCAAUUGAGCUCACUAAUUCAAACGGACGCAGGUUCAUUCUGGUAGCCAUUGAUUACUUCACAAAAUGGGUAGAGGCUGCAUCUUACAAAGCUCUAACUAAGAAAGUCAUCACAGAUUUUGCCAAGGAUCAUAUUGUUUGCCGAUUUGAAGUUCUCGAAUCCAUUAUUACUAAUAAUGCCACUAAUAUCAAUAGUGAUCUGAUGAAAUCUAUGUGUGAAACUUUCAAAAUCAAGCACAAGAAUUCCACACCUUAUAGACCUUAGAUGAACGGAGUCGUAGAAGCCGCCAAAAAAAACAUUAAAAAGAUACUAAGGAAAAUGGUGGAGAACCACAAACAAUGGCAUGAGAAGUUACCUUUUGCUUUAUUGGGAUACCACACUACGGUUCGCACAUCAAUCGGGGCGACUCCCUACAUGUUGGUUUAUGACACCGAGGUUGUCAUCCCAGCCGAGGUGGAGAUUCCUUCUUUAAGAAUCAUAUAGGAAGCUGAACUCAGCGAUGUAGAGUGGAUAAAGAGUCACUAUGAACAAUUGGCCCUUAUCGAUGGAAAGAGGAUGAACUCAGUAUGUCACGGCCAAGUUUACCAAAACAUAAUGUCUAGAUCUUUCAACAAAAGAGUCAAACCAAGACAGUUCACACCAGCGCAGCUGGUAUUGAAGAAAAUCUUCCCGCAUCAAGAUGAAGCCAAAGGAAAAUUCUCUCUUAACUGGCAAGGUCCGUACAUGGUUCAGAGGGUACUAAUAGGAGGAGCACUCAUACUUGCAGAAAUGGACGGAGAAAUCAGGCCAAAGCCAAUCAAUUCAGAUGCAGUCAACAGAUACUAUGCCUAGAUUGUUUUACAUUUCUCUUCUAAUGUAAUUGAACUAUGCUUGACCUGAUUCUCAUUUAAGAGGGGAUACAUAGGCAACCUUAUGAGUUCGGUCAUAUCAUAAUAAAAUUUUCAUUUCCCCCAAAGUUCAGAAACUGGGGCAGAAUUUUAAAGAGGACCCUCAAAAUUCCGGAGCAAGUCCAGAAAAUGCCAUCGCAUGCUAGAAAGUCAGAAACUGGGGCAGAAUUUUGAGAAGGAUUCUCAAAAUUCCAAAGAAGGUUCAGCAAAGCCUAUUAUCCGCAAACGGUCAAAGAUCAUCUACCAAAUUGGGGCAUAAUUUUGAGGACCCUCAAAAUUCCGACAUAACAGAGCUGCAAUGCCUUUGAGAUCUGUUACAAUCACUAGUUCAUCUAAAUGUAUCAAUAUAUUUCUAAAAUAACUCUAUUUUUAUCAAUAAUUACAUAUUUUUUGAAACACUCUAUUUCCAUAACAGUCAGGUGUUACCUAGGGUAACUCGAAGAGGCAUCCAAAGUGGAACAAGGCAAGGCUAGAAGCACGAACCAACCUCCCCUCACAAAACUUACAAUUGUUUUUAACACAGGCACAUCUGACGUAACAAUAACAUCUGCAAAUAUAUGUACGUAGCAAGAUAACUAUCAAUCAGGCCAUCAGACACUGAAUAUAUCUCCAGCUACGACAUACACUACUCUUAUUUGCUACUUGCUCUUUGCAUGGGACUAAUCCAUGUCCCCCAUAUUUGCAUGAGGCUAAUCCCUGCCUCCACAUUUGCAUGAGGCUAAUCCCUGCCUCCACAUUUGUAUGAGGAUAAUCCUUGCCUCCAUACUUGCAUAAGGCUAAUCCUUGCCUCCCUAUUUACAUGAGGCUAAUCUUUGCCUCCAUACCUGCAUGAGGCUAAUCCUUGCCUCCAUACCUGUAUGAGGCUAAUCCCUGCCUCCAUAUUUGUAUGAGGCUAAUCCCUGCCUCCACAUUUGCAUGAGGCUAAUCCCUGCCUCCAUGCUUGCAUGAGGCUAAUCCUUGCUUCCUAAUUUGCAUGAGGCUAAUCCUUGCCUCCAUAUCUGCUUGAGGCUAAUCCUUGCCUCCAUAUUUGCAUGAGGCUAAUCCAUACCUUCCACAUUUGCAUGAGGCUAAUCCUUGCCUCCAUACCUGCAUGAGGCUAAUCCUUGCCUCCAUAUUUGCAUGAGUCUAAUCCCUACCUUCCACAUUUACAUGAGGCUAAUCCCUGCCUCCAUACUUACAUAAGGCUAAUCCUUGCCUCCCUAUUUGCAUGAGGCUAAUCCAUGCCUCUAUACCUGUAUUAGGCUAAUCCUUGCCUCCCUAUUUGCAUGAGGCUAAUCCUUGCCUUCAUACUUGCAUGNNNNNNNNNNNNNAUUUGCAUGAGGCUAAUCCCUACCUUCCACAUUUACAUGAGGCUAAUCCCUACCUCCAUACUUGCAUGAGGCUAAUCCUUGCCUCCCUAUUUGCAUGAGGCUAAUCCCUGCCUCUAUACCUGCAUGAGGCUAAUCCCUGCCUCCCUAUUUGCAUGACGUUAAUCCUUGCCUUCAUACUUGCAUGAGGCUAAUCCUUGCCUCCAUAUUUGCAUGAGGCUAAUCCUUGCCUCCAUACUUGCAUGAGGUUAAUCCUUGCCUCCCCAUCUGCAUGGGAGUGAGCAAUGUCCCUCUUUGCACGAAUAUUGCUCUACUUCUGGUACUCUUUAUUUGCUUUUCAAUCGGGCUAAGCUUUGCCCUCCAUUUCAUAAGACUAAGCCCUAUCUUGAUAACAUCAUGAAUAUUGCAUAUCAAGGGCUGAAAUAUUGCCAACCUAUCCAAAGGUGUCAUAGUCUAAAAGGCAUAGCCGGAAGACACCAUGUCAUGGCCUAAGGAUCCCUCAAAUUUGCAUAUCAUUAUUCAAAGGCGUCAUGGUUUGAAGGCACCAUUUUCAUGGUACAAGAACAUAAUUUAAUGGCCUACGAAUCCCUCACUAAAUAAUUCAUGGCCCAAGACAUCAUGGUCCAAGGACAUCAUCUUUAACCAUCUAAAGACAACCUUUACGGUCCGAAGGGAAUCUGCAUCAUGUUUAAAUUUUCACAAAUACAUGUUUGUAGCAUCUUUUUUCUGUAGGUAACCAAUAAGCAACCACUAUCCUAGUAGGAGCGAUCUCGCUCCAGUUCCCUCCAACUGUCCCGAGCUUUAACCGCUCACCAUAGCCGUUUCGGCAUCGCAUGUCCGUUCUUGCAAUAAUUUCAUCGGCAUAUUCCGCAGAUGAAGCUAGAACUACACAUGGCAUGAUUCCUAUAAAACUAGGGAUAUGUAGGCAACUCGAAGACCGGAGUUCGGCCCCGGUCAAAAUUGGCCAUCAUUUCUUUAUCCGAAAACUCUUUCAUCCUUCUCGGGUAAAGAGGGGGAGCUGUUGAUACCCAAUUUUUUCCUAUAUAUUUUUAUAUGCAUAAAUACUUUCAAAAUAGCAUAUAUAUGCAUAUAUAAGCAUACACAAAGUUUUUAUAAUUUUUCUGUAAUUUUAAAGGAUUUAAAUUGAUUUAUUUCUUCCUUUUUACUUAUAAAAAUUCCAAUAAUUAUCCUUCAAAUUAUUGUUAUGAUAAUUUAAUCAUCUAAAUCCUAUAUUUAUGCCAAAAUAUUGCUUAAAUAUUUUUGUACAUUUCCCUAAUUGUACUUAUAUUUUUAAAACUAAUUUGCAUAUAAUUGCAAUAUUAACCCUAUUAAGGUAUAAUUACAUUUAUAUGCAUAACACUGAUCUUCUAUAUUUUUAAAAUGUUAAAUACCUAUUUUAAAUCAUUUUAGUACAUAAAAUUAAUUUUUUAGAAAUUAUUUAUUAUUUAUUAUAAAUUAUAUAGGGUUAGAUUGGUUAUUUAAAACUUAGCCAAAUUGGAUUUCAAUUAUAGCCUCAAUUAAACCCAAUGUCUAGCCCAAUUUUAGGCCAAAUUACCCAACCCAGGCCCUAAAUGCAAUUACCCAACCCAAAACCCAUCAGAUCCUGGCCGUUGAUCUAAAAGAUCAACGACCCUCGUUCAUUCCUUCCCCUUUUAACUCUGAACAACCCCUAACCCUAAUCAUUUUCCACAUACCACCGCCUAAAAUCCUCUCUACUCUUAGUACACUCUCUACCUAACCCUAGCCCUUCAAUCGCCCAUCUCUCAUCUCGGUCAUCUCCGGUGACCUCUCUUCGUCUCUUACACCUCCAGUGGCUUCUCUCAUGUCAUGCUUGCCUUCUCUAAGGUCUUCAAGGUCCUAGAGCCAUACCGACUUGCAUCUAGGGUUCGUCGCCUAUCUAUUCUUGGCUACUCCAGUGUGAUUUCAAGCAAAAUCAUGUUGUAUUUGCAAUGAUCCUUAGGUUUUCUAAGCAGUCUCUUCAUCCCUAUAAGGGUUUCUUUCGAAAACCUAAUUUCUUUUCUACGCCUCCUAGAUCUGUAUAGAUCUAGGACGAUUUGAGUUUGUUUCUUUAAUAUUUUACAACUGUCCUUGAGAUUCUUUACAAGAAUCGUUGAUUUUAAGUGUUUUUCACCUCCUUCUAAAACUAGGGUUUUUAGAACUUCUUUUUUAAAACCUUGUUUAACUGAUUCUUUGUGUAAAACUUCUAUUUGUUGCAUUAUUUUAACUGAUUCUAUGAUUUUACUACAUCUUCAACUCGUCUAUGUUGAAAGCCCUAAUUUUCUAGGUUUCUUCGUUUGGUUCUGUCUAUCAGCAUGACUGACCGGUUCUCGUUUAAGUUUCUAUGAUUAUCUUGUCUCGAAUAUGUUUCUAAUGAGUUUCUUAGCCUAACUUACAUCAACUCUAUGUGUUUGUGGUCAUCUUAACUGUUCAAAACUUGCUUCUUUCUAUCAUUGCUGUUUAACCUUCAUGUUUGCUAGAGCUAUGUGCCGACCUCUGGUUAUUCUUAUCGUACUCUAUUUAUAUGCUAAAACAUUGACUCAUGACUCUCUCUCUGAUUGAUUCUGAGUUCCAUGUUUCAUGGCUUGAUUUGAAAACUUUCCUUUAGACCUUCGAUUCUUCUUGUUUAAACUUGUCUUAUUUACUUAUUCAUGGGAACCUAUGUUAUUCUCCUUAAAUCAGUGUUAUUUCAAGUCCUUGAUUCACUGAUUUGCUAUAUGCUGAUUCUCAAUUAUGUCCAUAUUCUGCAACCUUAUUUACUUUUCUUAUCCUAUUUGGGUUAACCAUGUUAUUUGUUGAUUCUUCACUAACUGUUUCCCUAAUUGAACCUUUGUGUAUUUACCCAUAGUUGUCUGUUUUUUACUCAAUGCCUUACUUGAUUUCUUUCCUUAAACAUUUUCUGCCCAUUACUGUUGGUUAAUUACUCCUUAAUUAAGGAAGUACUUGCAUUGAUUUGAUUCUAAUUAGUACUUGGUUCUAUAAUUAUUGCUGAAACUUUGAUUCUUGCCUUAUUUUUUGUGUAUUUUCAAACUAUAAAUACCCUAUUCUUUCACUAACACAACACAUGAACACAUUGGUCCAAAAACUCUCUCUCACACUCAAAACAGUUCUCCUUUCUCUCUCUUUGGUUACUUGCUAUUAUCUUGAGUUAGUCGGCUGCAAGCCAAGGAUAACUAUUGUAUUUUCCUAUUCCUCACUUUAUGUUUACUAUCUCUCUACUGAUAUGUUCUGAUUUCAAUUCAAGUCCCAAAACUAAUAUGUUUCUUUUACUGCUUCAGUUUAUCAUGUUUCUAAUUUGUUUUUAUCUAUGGUGUUAUUGUUCAACACACAAUUGACAUGUUUACAUUAAUGCUUCAUCUAGCAUGGUAGUCUAACCCUCUUAGGGCCUUUCAGAACAUGUUCUACCCCCUCCCCUAGUAGUCUGACUCAACAUGACUCUAUCCUUGAAUGCUUGUCUACUUGUUAUCCAGUUUUGAUAUGCAAGUUAAUCUAUCACUUUAAAUUGUUGAUUCUAUGAUUGUUUCUAAAACUCCUACUAUAUUGGUACCAAUAAAUAUCCCCUAAUACCUAAAACCCCACAAGAACUACUAUGCUCCUGAUACUAUGUGCUCUAUGUGUCCCCAAUUCCCAUUCCCCUAUGUGAAAGACUGUUAUUUGAGUAUUGCUGAACUUGUUUGACUGACUUGUUGUUGUCUAAUUAUACCACUAUUUUCAAAAGCUGUUUACCAAACAACUCUCUUGUUUACAAAAUUAUUUCAACUGUGUCAUUUUUUUUACUGUUUUCCUACUGAAAACUUUUCAAACUAUGUCAAGCACUCUCACUUUACUCCUAAGUCUCUAGGUUGUUCCCCCUCCAGUGUGUGUACUGCCUUGGGAUCCGUCUGAGAUCCAUCUGAACUCUGGCACACUAAGGCUGGCCCUUCGACACUGCAGUUACUCAAUUUGGUUACAAAGUCUAGGUGUGCGCACUACCCAGAUCCUUGAGAUCCUUAGGGAACUCUGACGCACCUAGACAAUGACAUUGUCUAUGAAAUUGGCAUUUGAGGCUAUUGGAGGUAUGGGAAAUCACUUGGGCCUGCUUCAGGCUCCCUAUAGUGUAACUUCUUUUUUUUCUUUAUUUAUGUAAUUCAUUCAUCUAAUUUGUAAAUGAAUAUUGGGGUGAUUAGUGAAAAAGGGUGGGUAGUUAUAUAUUUGUGGGGUAAUAUGGGUAGAAACCAUGCCUAUAGGAUUUUAUAUAUAUUUGUUAUGUCUGCCCUACCAUAUUAGAAUACAUGCCUAUAGAAUCAUUUAAUAUAAUUGUUAUGCUUGCCUCACCAUGCUAGAAAUCAUGCCUAUAGGGUUAAAUGGCCCCAAAUAAUAGAAAUCAUGUCUAUAGGCUUUACAAUCAAGUAGAUACCAUACUUAAGCAUGUGAUCAAGUUCAACUUUCUGUUAUAACGGGUAAUUGCAUUUGUUUUCAUUAAAUAUCAUGGAAGUUUCUAACAUCAGCUCUUAACAACUAGAUAUCAUGUUUAUUGGGAACAACGUCAGAAAUUCUGCCUAUAGACCCAAAAUCAGUUUAGUUUAAAUAAGUCGGUCUAAUUCAUGUUAGUUUACUUCAAAACUAGCCUAAUCAGUGGUUUGUUUUCCUUAAAUGAAUUCUUUCAAGUACUGCCCUAAUUUACUAUUAGAAAGCAUGCGUAUAGGAAUUCAAGGGUUCGUUUUCAAAUCUACCCACUAUUUUACUAUAUCAAACGUAGUUAUCAUGCUCUUAGGACAUCACUAUUCAGCAUUUAGGCAAGCCUGUGGGGCGUUUUCAAAUUCUACAACUCUGAAACUACAUUUCUUCUACUUAAAGUUGUUCAGAUUAAACAGGUUUACUUAGUAGGCAAGUUAAAUAAGAUACUUCUGUCACGGCCUCAGUUCGCCCUCCGUGAACUGUCGUGACGAUACUUAGUCUCUACGACUAGGUAAGUCUAACAAAUGUGGAACAUAAACGAAACUUGCGGAAGAAAUAACCAAAACCCAAAAUAAAUGAAUAUAACAAUAGUUAUAAUGUCGCUCAGCAUAUACAACACAACAUUCUCAAAACCAAGUACACUAUCCCAAAAUCCAAAAAUUCACGGAAACACAAGCCUUUGGAAUAUCUAACAGUCUAACUCCAGAAUAUCUAACAAGAAAGAAAAUACAGAAGGGCAAUGUUUAACAGCUAAAAUAGAAAGGGACUCCUCGGUCUGCGGACGUGGUAGAUGUUCCUCGAAGUCUCUAGAGCAGUCGCCUCCCUCAAGGAUGGUAGGCUUGAGUAGCGGUACCUGGAUCUGCACAUGAAAAACAUGUGCAGAAGGGGAAUGAGUACACCACAGCGGUACUUAGUAAGUGCCAAGAUUAACCUCGGUUGGGUAGUGACGAGGAAGGUCAGGGCCCUAUUGAGGUUAAAUAAAAUAUAAAGAUCAAUAGUAUAAAUAAGUACAGCAGUAAAAUAACACAAGAUGUACAGGACAAAAACAACUAUAAAAAAAUGAGGUAAGCACGGAAAAGAAAUACAGCUCAGUACCAAUAAUAACAACUGGGGAUCUCCCAGGAUACCGUCUUGUAGUCCCAUAUGUACAUAACCAAUGAUCUCUCGGGAUCCCAUCCCAUAGUCCAACUCAUAGUGCGCGGGGAUCUACCGGAAUCUCGUUCCGUAGUCCCAAAUGUAAAUACCCAGUACUACGGGAAUCUACCGGGUGCAUUCCCGUAGUUCCAUAUAACUGUGCAGGGGGAUCUACCGGAAUCCCACAUCCGUAGUCCCAAAAUAAACAGACAAGGGGGAGCUACCGGAAUCCCACAUCUGUAGUCCCAAAAUAAAUACACAGCAACAACAAAAAAAUAUACAGAAAUGGCAAAGUUUCAUAUUAAGGCAACAAAUGAUUAUAGCCUAGCAAGCUGCACAGAGUUCAGGUAAGGCAGGUCGAGCAAAUAAGCAAUUAGGUCACUUAAACAUGCUUUCCUAAGCUAACAACAGGCUUAAUAGUGCAAGUAAUAGAAAUAGAAAAAGAAACAAACUAGUAAUUACUUAAAGAAAACUGGAUUUCCAACAAUUAGCACAAGUAAGCACUCGUCACCUCACGUACAAGGCAUUUCAGUUACCAAAUAUACAUCCCAAGGGGAAGGUCCCCCACACAAGGUAAGAUAAGCCACUUACCUCAAACCGGCUCAAAAUCAACCCAAAACCACGCUCUUGCCACGAUUACUCGACUCCAAAUGGCUGAAAUCUAUUCAAUUCAAUUGCAUAAUGUAAAUAACACUUCAAGUAACUGAUUCUACAAUUAAAUUCUAAGCUAAUACGCGAAAUUAUGUAAAAUGACCAAAACGUCACUCGGACCCACGUCUCGGAAUUGAGUAAAAUUUAUAUUUCCAGAAACCUCGCACUCUCAAAAGUUCAGUCAUAUCAAAAGUACCAAAAUCGGACCUCAAUUUGUCCCUCAAAUCAUCACUCAAAGGUCUCUAAUUAGACAAGCCCUAAUCCCCCAAUUACCACUGAUUUUUCUUAAUUUUUCAUGCUUAAAUUGAUAAACAUCACUCCAAUAACGAGUUUAGGGACCAAAGACCUUACCCCGAUGAACUCCUCUGAAAAUCCCUCUUAAAAAGUGCUUCCCAAGCUUCUUCCCGUUUUGAAAAGAUGAAAAAUGGCUAAAUUUUGCGAAGGCAAGAAUUUAUAUGUUCCGCCCAGCGAUUUCCGCAUUUGCAGCACUGGGACAGCAUCUGCAGUCCCGCUUCUGCGGAGCCAAGGUUGCAUCUGCAACUUUUCAUUAAAGGGCCAGCUUUCGCAUCUGCGACUUCCGAAUCCGCAGAUACCGUACCGCUUAUGCGGUAUUACCACCGCUUCUGUGGUUCCUGAAGAAGUGACCAAAUUCCACUUCUGUGACCACUGAGCCGCUUCUGCGGUGCCACACAUGCGGAACCCAAACCGUAGGUGCGGUUAUGACAAAACCAGCAGCUGAAGCUGCAACUCUAACUUCAAAAUCUUUCCGUCAACCAUUCGAAUUCAUCUUGAGGCCUCCGGGACCUCAAACAAAGGCACCAACAAGUCACAACUCACUAUCAAAACUUGUACCAAUCCUUAAAACACCUAAAACAACAUCGAAACCUCGAAUUAACCAUAGAUUUAAGCCUAAGAACUCCAAAAUUCUCGAAAUACACUUUUGAUCAAAACGUCUAUCAAAUCUCGUCCGAAUAAUCUGAAAUUUUGCACACACGUCACAUUCAACACUAUGGAGCUACUCCAACUUUCGAAAUUCCAUUCCGACCCUCAGAUCAAAAUCUCACUAUCGGACUGAAAACUUCAAAAAUUCAACUUUCGGCAUUUCAAGGUUAAAUUAGCUAUGGACCUCCAAAACACAAUCCAAACACACCCCUACACCCAGAAUCACCUAACAGAGCUAACAGAACCAUCAGAUUUCCGUUCUGAGACCGUCUUCACACUAUUCCAACUACAUUCAACUUUCCAAUACUUAAGCUCUCAUUUAGGGACUAGGUGUCCCAAAACUCCCCGAAACUCAAAACCGAACAUCCCGUCAAAUUAAAAUAGCAGAAAUAAACUCAGAGAAAGAAAUUAAUAGGGGAUCGGGGCAUUAAUUCUUAAGACGACCGGUCAGGUCGUCAUAUCCUCCUACACUUAAAUAUUUGUUCGUCCUCGAACUAGCAUAAAUACAUACCUGAAGUACUGAAAAGAUGAGGGUAACGGCUGUGUAUAUCCUGCUUGGUCUGCUAGGUCGCCUCCUCGACCGGCUAACCUCGCCACUGAACCUUCACAGAUGCAAUGUUCUUUGACCUCAACUUUC